CAAAUUAUCCCCUCAUCAGAUAUUUCGUUAAAAUUCAUUCUGAAACACUAAAACUAAAUAAUUGAAUAUGGCUUUGCGGGUCGAUGAUGCCAGCAGCAAUGAGACUGCAAUUAUCACUUGUUUAGUUUCUGUGCUUGCCGUGGUUUACUUCGCAUGGAAUGUGAAAAAAUCAAGGAAAGCAAAUGCUAAACUUCCACCAGGACCUCGCGGCUUGCCUGUAGUCGGAUACCUCCCAUUUCUCGGAACUACUGACUUGCACAAGAAAUUCACGGAAUUAUCCGGAGUUUAUGGUCCGAUCUUCAAGCUCUGGCUCGGAAACAAAUUAUGUGUCGUGGCGAGCUCACCUUCCCUAGUUAAACAAGUGGUUCGAGAUCAAGAUACAACAUUCGCCAACCGUGACCCGCCGAUCGCUGUACUAGCGUUCACCUAUGGUGGCAAUGAUAUUGCAUGGUCCAAUUACGGUCCCGAAUGGAGAAAUUUGCGCAAAGCUUUUGUGGGCAAGAUGAUGAGUAACGCAAGCCUUGAUGCUUGUUAUGCUCUAAGAAAACAAGAGGUUAAAAAUACUAUCAGGGAUUUGUACAACAACGACAACAAAAUUGGUAAGCCCAUCGACAUUGGUGAAUUGUCAAUUUCAACCUUGGUAUGUGUUAUUCAGAACAUGCUGUGGGGUGAAGCGCUUGAAACAAGAGAGGAAGGGAUCACUAAUCUUGGGGCUGAGCUAAAAUUUAAGCUGGCAGAACUCAUGGUCCUAAUGGGAACACCGAAUAUUUCGGACGUCUUUCCAGUGCUUUCAUGGUUUGAUAUACAAGGUAUAGAGAGGAAAGCAAAGAAGAUUUCACUCUGGUUUGAAAAUAUUAUAAAUUCUACUGUUGAAAAGUAUAGAAGCAAGGACUUUAUUGUUGAAGGUAAAGAAAGAGCAGGGGAAAAUUUUGAAGGAUCAAGGAACAAGAACUUCUUGCAGUUACUAUUGGAGCUUCAAGAAAAUGAAGACGGUUCUUCCUCAAUUAGCAUGAACCAAUUUAAGGGCGUGCUCGCGGUAUGUUAAGCAACUAGCCACGAACAGUUAUACAAGCACAGUUGUAUAUUUGCAUGAGUGACGCUUCUCAACUUUUUUUAAUUUUUUAAAUUAAAGUUUUAUUGUAAUCUUUUGAACAGGAUAUAAUUACGGGUGGAACCGACACCACAACUACGAUGGUGGAAUGGACAAUGGCAGAGUUGAUGCAGCAUCCACAAGUAAUGAAGAAAGUUCAGGAAGAAUUAGCUCAAGUUGUGGGCAUGGACAGUUGUGUUGAAGAAUUUCAUUUGCCUAAACUGAAAUAUUUAGAUGCUGUGGUGAAAGAAUCGUUUCGUCUGCAUCCUGCAGUGCCUUUAUUAGUACCACGCAGAGCAAGCGAGAGUGGCAGCAUUGGUGGCUAUACCAUUCCCAAAGAUACAACUCUUAUGUUGAAUGUUUGGGCUAUCCACAGGGACCCUCAACUUUGGGAUAAUCCCUUAGAAUUUCGACCCGAGAGGUUUCUGAAUGUUGGUGUCGAGAGUAAGUUCGAUUACUCAGGUAACAAUUUUCAGUACUUACCUUUUGGUUCUGGUAGAAGAAUGUGUGCUGGGAUUCCUCUAGCUGAGAGGAUGCUGAUGUUUGUUUUGGCUUCGUUAUUGCACUCAUUUGAGUGGGAAUUGCCAGCUGGCACAAAGCUAAAUUUAUCUGAAAAAUUUGGGUUUGUCAUUAAGAAAAAAGAGCCUUUGGUUGCUAUUCCAACACCAAGACUAUCCAAUUCAGAGCUUUACCAUUAAAACAGAAUGAUUGUGAUGAUUUUGUUAGUAUCGGAAGAUUUGUAUGUUAUUUCAAGUUCAAUCGUAAUAAAAUAUUUUAAUAAAAGUCCUCCGUUGCUAAUUUUUUUUUUCAACGGCAUAAUCUGUCAUCAUGCUUGUGUUUGGAGCUACUUUGGAAUGAUUAUUUUUGAAUUACAAUUUAUAAAUAUUUAGGUUUUAAAUUUUUUAUAAGAGUCUAAAUUUAUACACGUUCAGUAAAAGAUUCCCUAAAAGCUUUACAAUUCAAAAUUCUAUUAAAAGUAUAGAUGAAACUUUUAUACCUACUAAUUUUUUGGUCUAUUCUACAAGUUUAAAGAGGAGAUAUUUCUAGAGCUAGCAAAAAGAGCUACCUGAUUGUUUUCGCGUUAUGUCAAUUUUUUUAUUGUGUUAAAUUUAAUUUGACCCACAUAUGACCCAUUUAAUAAUCGUGUCAAAAUAUUGAAACUUGAACUUGAUACGGAAAAUAAAUGGAUGACCACACACACCCAUUUAAGAAUUAGGUAACUAUGUCACUUAAUACGACAUAACCCAAUAACUCGUUUAAUACAUAUUUAACAUAAUUUACAUUGUACAUUGUACACCCUUUUGUCAUAAAUUACACUAUUUUAUAUUUCUAAAUAAUAUUAUAUAUUGAUAUUAUAAAAAAAUAUCAAUAAUCUCAAAAUUUGUACACCUCCUAACUUUUAAAAAGAAAUAAAAAAACUAAUUAAUUAAUGUUUAUUUUAUUCAUUAAUAUAUCAUAAUCCUACAUGUAUUUUAUUUGUUAUUUUUUUUAUUUAAAAAGAUAGGAGGGUGGAUGAAACUCAAAUAAAUUUUUAGCCUAUCCUGAUCUUUCAAGUUUCUUAUUUAGGAGGCCAGUUAAAAAAAAUUACUUAGAAAGCUACUCCAUCAAUUUAACAAAUUUUAUUUAUUUAAUUAAUGGAGGUGUAGAAAAUAAAAGUAUCUGCAAGCACAUUGCAAUAGUGAAAGCAAUGUACCGGUGUUGCAACAUAACUGAAUCUUGAUAACCUAUCACAUAUUUUAAGUUUUAAUAUUGGUAGUUCACGGAUCGGUUUCUACUUCCACGAACAAUUAUUGAAGGAAAUGAGUUUUUUUUUUAAUGAAUAUUUAUAGACCCCGAUUAAAUAUUCGAAUAUAUAAUAAAAGAGAAACUGACAUAGAAAUGAGAAAGAUAUUUGGAGGAGGCCAAAAAAAAAAAAAAAAAUGCAACAGAGAAUUAGAUCAGCAACACAAGUAACUAAUUAAUUCAUCUAUACAUCAUAAUCCUAUUUGUAUCUUCUUCCUUCUACUAAUUUACAUAUAAAUUUGGUUAGAUAAAACAUAUUUUAAUACUCGGUCACAAGCGGUGGAUAUAGAAAAUUAAUUUAGAGGGGGUAAUACCAUAACGAAAAAUAAUGAUUCAUAACUAAAAUCAACCCCAACAUCAAAACUUAUUUACAAGAUUACGCCCAGUCAAAGGUAAUUUUUCCUAAAAACUAAUACGAAAUUAAAUAAAUUUAACUUUUAGUGGGUUCAAGUGCCCACGCAUUCUGAACGUAGAUCCACCCCUGGCCCCGACUGAAGCAUUUUUUACAAUAUGUACUCAGUUUAUCAACAGGAACAACCUUCCACUUUAAAUUAAAAUUUUCACUUAAAAAUGAUUAAUGUUAAUGAGGUUAGCAACAAAAAUGAGUUUAAUUAGAGAAUAUUAUAAGAGAAAUUAUAUUUUUUGACUUUUAAUAAAUUAAAAUAUUAUUAGUUGGUGGUGGUUUCACGUCAGAUUAAGACGUGACACUUUACUUAUGAGGUCGAGACAAUCGACUUAAACUAUUUCAAUGCAUUUGAAAUUUGCACUAAUGGCUAUCAUUCUUUGUCCAAAUUAAUACGAUAAUUAAUAACAUACAAUUGAAAUAAUUAAUACUAGCACUUGGCAAUAAAUAAAGCUCUUGUGCUUGAAUCGUCACACAUGAUCACUUCAUUCCUUUAUUUACUUUGCUACCACAAAUUUUGAGGCAUUAUAACUAAAUAAUAAUUGAAUAGGGCUUUGUGUUACUUGUUGUGCGCGCGGAAUGCGGAAUCAAGCACACCAAAUUAUUACAGAAAAAUAAAGGACACAAUUAUUUGACGUGGUUCGGUAAUUAAACUUACAUCCACGGAGGCAAGAAAGAAUAAUUGUUUAUUUAACAAUUAAUAGAGUACAAAUAUUUGAGUAACGAAUCUCACUUCUCAGAAACCUAAAUAUACCCAAUACUCUCACACUCUGCAGGAAAGAUAAAUUAUCCAAACACACUUCUCUCACUUCUCUAAAAAACUUAAAAAUUUAAAAACUUAACAAUUUUGGAAUGCUUUAGAAUAGAAGAAGUGCCAUCUUAUAGGAAAAAUAAUGAUACUAUUGCACCAACCUCUUUACUAUUCCACCUAACAUAAGCAAAUUGUCAAUAGUGUCCAUUUAACUUUUUAUUUUUUUUCUUCAAUUGUUUAGUAGCCCUUUAAAAAUCUGCGUGGUUUCUUGAAAUUUAGAUGCCACAUGCAUGACUUUUCAACACUAAUUACUACGAUAAUUAAUAUUAGCACUUGGCAAUAAAUAAAGCUCUUGUGCUUGAAUCGUCACACACGAUCACUUCAUUCCUUUAUUUGCUUUGCUACCACAGAUUUUGAGGCAUUAAAACUAAAUAAUAAUUGAAUAUGGCUUUGUGCGUCGAUGACGCCAGCAACAAGGGGACCACAAUUAUCACUUUUUAAGUUGCUUUUAAAAUUGAUUUUAAUAGUGAUUUGAUUAUUGUAGUGUUUUUAUUUUUAUAUUAAAAUUAAGUCGAUUUGUUAUAAUAAACUUAGUUGAGUUUAAUGGUAUUACUACAUAAAUUGAAUAGUCAUCAAAUAUUUUAAUGUUUUUAUGGCAAGUGUUGACGUGGCAUUUAUUUGUUGUAUGAUGGAUUUUAAAAUUUAUAAAAUUAUUUGUUAUUAAAUUACCCCCAGAUGCUGCAUCACCUGAAACUUAAUAAAGGGCAUGUAGCAUUGCCAUUACUCAACAUUCACUCUUAUGACUUUAUGACAUUAGAAUUAAAAUCUUUCGUACAUUUAAUUUGUUUGCUUCCAGAUUAAUCUUUAAAAAUAUUUUUUUCACAUUAUCAUGAAUGGACAAAACUCCAACGAAAAUAACUACGCAAGAGCAAUCUAUGCUAGUAUUAUAUGCCACGAUAUCUAUAACUUUGUCAGGUCUCAGGAUCGAUCAUUCUAAUUUUUACGCAGAACUUUUAAUCAAUGGACAAACACCUCACCGAGCUUGUCGGCAGCAUUACUACGAUGUAAAAUUGUACCGGAAUAUCUUGAAGUAUUAGUAGAAUAAUGAAGACUAUUUGGAGCAAUAAAAACAAAUAACGCAGAUAAAAAAAAUGGCUAAAAUUAUGUAAGUGAGCCCCAAAGUUUUUGCUAUUUCCAGGAAAUCCCAAAUUUGAAUGGACUAGAGGGAGGCACGUAAGAAAUACAUUUUCUUCCUAGACAAUGACAGCUAUGACAUCAAGCCACGUAUUGAAAUUAAGGUGUAAUUAUUCAGCCAAUGAGCCUUACACACCAAGAUGUAUAAAAGUCAAGAAAAUGAAAUUUUAUCCCAAUUAAAACACUUUCUGGCUGCAAUUGGCUGUUUCCAUUUGAAGUUAAAAAACAACAACGUUUCUUUCGUUUUGUGGGCGAUUCGAUUGAGCACGCGCCACGAGCUAGCUGGCUUCCAGUGCUUGCGUGUGACAAUAGAAGGCUAGUGAUUUCACUUUCGCUUUUUUUUUUUUUUCUUUUUUUUGGGGAAUCAAGAUAAAAGCCAAGAAAAUGAAAAUUGGGCUGUUUCCAUUUGAAGUUAAAAACAGUGUUUCUUUCGGGGCGUCAAUUUGAUAUUUGAAUGGACAGGCAAGUAAGAAAUACAAUUCCUUCAUAGACAAUGACAACGAGGACAUCAAGGCACAUCAUUAUAGUUUGUAGCCCAUCUACAUUUAAACGAUUAAUAAACAAGCUUAGGUGUGCCACUGCUAUUAUUAAUUAUCCCCUGAUCAUUAUAGUUUCUGAAACAGUAAAACAAAACGAAAUUGAAUACAUCAACGAGAUCGCAAUUAUCACUUGUUUAGUUGCGGUAUUUAACUUAAUUUUAAUCUAAUAUAUUUGUUAGUUAAACUUUUAAUAAUCAAAUAAUUUUGACUUAAAAAUAAAAUUAUAGAAAUUAUUAAUUAUUAAAAAUUCACACAUAGCUAUUGUUUUCUCUAUAUAUUGCAGUGUGUACGAUAUUGAGGGUUGAAGCCCAAAGCAUGCCCUAAAAUCCAGAUAAUAAUUAGAUCCGGGCCAAAUAUUCAUCAUUGUGUCGGCUGAUCAGUCGGUGGACAUCUCUAUUGAAAAAAUCUCUGACAUUUCUCUCGACAAACUUAUUACUAAAAAAAAAUCAGUGGUUUUGCCGUCUGAAUAAUGUAGAAAAAUUUGUCUGUGCAUUAAUCUAGAUGUUUGAGGUGAUUUAUACAUCUGUGAUAAAGAUUUAUAGGUUGACUUAUACGUCUGUGGUAUAGAUUUUAUGUAUUUCAUUACAAAAUGCUGGCCGUUAGAACCCUUUCUACAUCUAUUUAUAAGAUUAACGGGUGCCAGUUAUGCCAUUACAAAUUAUCCCCUCAUCAGAUAUUUCGUUAAAAUUCAUUCUGAAACACUAAAACUAAAUAAUCGAACAUGGCUUUGCGGGUCGAUGAUGCCAGAAGCAAUUCGACUGCAAUUAUCACUUGUUUAGUUUCUGUGCUUGCCGUGGUUUACUUGGCAUGGAAUGUGAAAAAAUCAAGGAAAGCAAAUGCUAAACUGCCACCAGGACCUCCCGGCUUGCCUGUAGUCGGAUACCUCCCAUUUCUCGGAACUACUGACUUGCACAAGAAAUUCACGGAAUUAUCCGGAGUUUACGGUCCGAUCUUCAAGCUCUGGCUCGGAAAUAAAUUAUGUGUAGUGGUGAGCUCACCUUCCCUAAUUAGACAAGUGGUUCGUGAUCAAGAUACAACAUUCGCGAACCGUGACCCACCGAAGGCUGCACUAGUGGUCUCCUAUGGUGGCAAUGAUAUUGCAUGGUCCAAUUACGGUCCCGAAUGGAGAAAGUUGCGCAAAUUUUUUGUGGGCAAGAUGAUGAGUAACGCAAGCCUUGAUGCUUGUUAUGCUCUAAGAAAACAAGAGGUUAAAAAUACUAUCAGGGAUUUGUAUAACAACGACAACAAAAUUGGCAAGCCCAUUGACAUUGGUGAAUUGUCGUUUUCAACAUUGGUAUGUGCUAUACAGAACAUGCUGUGGGGUGAAGCGCUUGAAAUAAGAGAGAAAGGGACCACUAAUCUUGGGGCUGGGCUAAAAUUUAAGCUGGCAGAACUCAUGGUGCUUGCGGGAACACCGAAUAUUUCGGAUGUCUUUCCAAUGCUUUCAUGGCUUGACAUACAAGGUAUAGAGAGGAGAGCAAAGAAGAUUUCACUCUGGCUUGAAAAUGUUAUAAAUUCUACUGUUGAACAGCAUAGAAACAAGGAGUCAACUGUUGAAGGUGAAGAAAGAGCGGGGAAAAAUUUUGAAGGAUCAAGGAACAAGAACUUCUUGCAGUUACUAUUGGAGCUUCAAGAAAAUGAUGACAGUGCUUCCUCAAUUAGCAUGAACCAAUUCAAGGCCGUACUCAUGGUAUGUUAAGUAACUAGCAACGAACAGUUAUACAAGCACAGUUGUAUAUUUGCAUGAGUGAUAUUUUCAACCUUUUUUUUUAAUUAGAAUUUUAUUGUCACCUUUUGGACAGGAUAUAAUUACGGCUGGAACCGACACCACAGCUACGAUGGUGGAAUGGACAAUGGCAGAGUUGAUGCAGCAUCCACAAGUAAUGAAGAACGUUCAGGAAGAAUUAGCUCAAGUUGUGGGCAUGGACAGUUGUGUUGAAGAAUUUCACCUGUCUAGAUUAAAGUAUUUAGAUGCUGUGGUGAAGGAAACAUUUCGUCUGCAUCCUGCAGUGCCUUUAUUAGUACCACGCAGAGCAAGCGAGAGUGGCAGCAUUGGUGGCUAUACCAUUCCCAAAGAUACAACUCUUAUGUUGAAUGUUUGGGCUAUCCACAGGGACCCUCACCUUUGGGAUAAUCCCUUAGAAUUUCGACCCGAGAGGUUUCUGAAUGUUGGUGUCGAGAGUAAGUUCGAUUACUCAGGUAACAAUUUUCAGUACUUGCCAUUUGGUUCUGGUAGAAGAAUGUGUGCUGGGAUUCCUCUAGCUGAGAGGAUGCUGAUGUUUGUUUUGGCUUCGUUAUUGCACUCAUUUGAGUGGGAAUUGCCAGCUGGCACAAAGCUAAACUUAUCUGAAAAAUUUGGGAUUGUCAUUAAGAAAAAAGAGCCUUUGGUUGCUAUUCCAACACCAAGACUAUCCAAUUCAGAGCUCUACCAUUAAGACAAAAUGGUUGUGAUGAUUUUGUUAAUUUUCCGAAGAUUUGUAUGUUAUUUAGUUCAAUCGUAAUAAAAUAUUUCAAAUAAGAGUCCUCCGUUGCUUUUUUUUUUUUUUUUUUUUCAACGGCAUAAUCUGUCGUCAUGCUUGUAUUUGGAGCUACUUUGGAAUAAUUAUGUUUGAAUUACAAUUUAUAAAUAUUUACGUUUUAAAUUUUUUAUAAGAGUCUAAAUUUAUACACGUUUAAUAUCCCGCUUCAUAGAUAUUUAACACAAUUUAUAUCAUACAUUGUAUACCCAUUUGUCAUAAAUUAUACUAUUUUGUAUCUCUAAAUAAUAUUACGUAUUGAUAUUAUAAUAUAUAUAUAUAUGUUUAUCAAAAGACUAUACCAUUCAAUAUAUAUUGAAAAGAGAACAAAGAAGAUUUUCUUAUGGUUUAAAAAUAUUAUGAAUUCUGCUGUUGAACAGUAUGGAAACAAGGUCUCUGUUGUUAAAGGUGAAGAAGCAACAGGGAACAAUAUUGAAGGAAGAAAUUUCACAUGUUUAGUUGCUGAAUUUGCCGCUGUAUUCUAUCGGUAGUAGAGUUUUUAUUUUUCUCUAUUAAUUUAAGUCAAUUUUCUAUAACAAAUUCGGUUGAGUUUAAUUGUGUUAUAAUAUAAAUUGAAUGAUAAUAGAAUUUUCAACAAAUAUUUCAAUAUUUCUAUCUCGAUUGUUGAAGUGCCAUUUAUUUGUUAUGCGAUCGAUUUUAAAAUUUAUAAAAUUAUUUGUUACUAAAUUGCAUCAUAUGCUAAAAUCACCUGAAACCUAAUUCCAUAACUAACCCUUUAUUUUUAGUUCUCAAGAAAUCUUGUAAGAACAAAAAUCUUUUAUAACAAAACUUUUACAACACAUUAAUUUGUAACUCAUUCCUGUGCGCGAAUCACUCUCAAUUUCCUUCAAUUGCUGUUUAACAAUCAUCUACUUAUCAAAAUUCAAGCAUAAUCUUUUUUUUUUAAUUUCUUCAUCAUUCUUUAAAAAAAAAAUCAGGAUAUGCUGUUAAAUUUUGAAAUAAAUAAAUUAACCAAAGUUGGUUGAUGUGAGUGGUUCAAUGAUGAGCAUAAUUUAUAUACAUAUUUUACCUUUAAUUAUAUAAUUAUUAGUUAUUUUUAUUAGUUAUUUUUAAUUAAUUGAAUUAUUUUAUUGCAUAGAGAAUUAAUUGGAGAUUGGGAAACAAAAAGUGCAUAAAGAAUAACAAGUUUGGGAAAGCAUCAAUCAAAGCCGUGACGCAAUUAAGAGUUUAUAGCAUAUGAAGCCAAGAGUAAUUUGCACUCAAAAAGAAUUUCAAUUAUUCAAGUGACCUGGACCUGCAUGGCAUUGUAAUGCAUGGAAAGCAACUUAAAGGGGCCCACACUUGGCUUUUACAAUUGGAAAAAGGAAUCCUAGUGCAAGCUUAAUUGAUGAGCACGUGAGUGAGAGCAAAGAAAAUUAAAAGGCCAAGCCUUUUGGCUUAAGGAAAUAACAAGGUCGGUGGGGCCCAUUUUAAAGAGUAAUAUAAAAGCAAGCUUUUGGCUUUUGGAGAGAGGAGCCGCGAGAGGAGGAAAACGCAAGACAAAGAGAAGAAAAUCUGCAGCAGUUCGGCUUCUAUGGUUGGUUUUAUCUCUUUUGUUACUCUUAAUUCAAAUAUGUCUAGUUAAUUUUCUUAUAUUAAAGUUAAGGAUGAAACCCUAUUCAAUGAAAUAAUUAUCUUUUUAUUUAUUUAAUUCCCAUAUAUGUUCUUUAAUGAUUAUGAUUUUUAUUUCACAUGAUUAAUUGGAUGUUAUUAAAAUUUUUUCAUCAAUUCUGUCAUGCAUUAUUGAUUGUUAGGAUUAAUAUUCAAUUAAAUCUAUACUUAGAUUUAUAACGUUUAUACAUGAUUAUCUUUGAUUCUAUGUCUUUCAUUAAAUUGUUUACAUGGAGUGCUUAGGAAAACUUUGACUCUUUGUUAUUCAAUAUGUUCACAUGGGAUACUUAGAUGUCAUACUAUUAAGCGGAAAAAGAACCUAUAUUAGAUUUAAUUAUUUGGGCUUAAUUGUUAUAUCCAUGAGAUGACACAAAUUGAUUUCGAGUUGUCACUCUAAAAUUAGAGAUUAAUGAAUAUUUAGAUAAUUACUAGUUGAAUAGCGGUGGAUUCUGAAACCUUGGUAAUUUCUAUCUUAUUGAAUUCUCCUUUACUUUAAUUGUUUUCUUAGUUUAAUUAAUUUAAUUUCUUUUAAAACUCAAUUUGCUUAACUAGGUUAGAAUUAAUAUUAAUUUUAGAUUUAAAUUAGACUUUUCAAUUUAUAACAAUCCAUGUGGGAUCGACCUCGUUACCACUACUUUAUUUCUAGAUUCGUGCACUUGCGAGUAUAUUAAAAUUUUCACAACAAGUUUUUGGCGCCGUUGCCGGGGAUUGUGCCAGAAAGUCAGUUUAAUCUAGGUUGAUUUGAUUCUUCCACUAGUUAUAAUUUAUGUUGUCUUUUAUUUUAUUAUUAUUUUUAAUUAACAAAAACACACAAAAAAACUUUUAUUUUUCUUUAAAUUCAUUGUUUGGUUGUUUGAUUUCUUUUAUUUUUUAAAUUUUGUUUAUUCUCAUUAUUGUUGGUUUAUUUUAUUUUAUUUUUUUCUUUCCUUGUCUAGUUAGUUUAUGAGUGUUUGGGAAUGUGAUUCAACAAAUCGUUUGGUAAAAGAGAGUCAAAAAUUGAUAGUAGUCAAGUUAGUUCUUCUGAAGUCAUGGAUGACCCAAAUAGAUUAUUGCCAAUACUUCCACCAGUGCAAGCAGAGAAAACCCUUAGAGAAUAUUUUUCACCACUUGCAGCCAACCAACCAUCUUGUAUUGUGUUGCCACAAACUACAGCAACACACUUUGAACUUUUUGAACUUAAGCCCUCAGUCAUCCAACUUUUACCAUCUUUCCAUGGGUUAGAGAGAGAGGAUCCAUAUUUGCACAUUAAGGAAUUUCUUGACAUAUGCUCUACAUUCCGUUUUCAAAAUUUUAAUGAUGAGUUAAUCAGGCUUCGUAUGUUAUCUUUCUCAUUAAAAGACAAAGCAAAAGCUUGGUUGAAUUCGCUUUCUGCUGGGUCUAUAACUACGUGGGAUGAAUUGAAUAAUAAGUUCCUCACCAAGUUUUUCCCUAUGUCUAAAACAAAUGCCCUUAGGAGAGAGAUAAGUGAUUUCUAUUAAAGAGAGGGUGAGCAAUUUUAUGAGUGUUGGGAAAGAUUCAAUGAUUUACUCCUCAAGUGCCCCCACCAUGGUUUUGAGAAAUGGAGACUUAUACAAUGCUUUUAUAACGGUUUAACCAUGUCGAAUCGUCAUAUGGUAGAGUCUAUGAAUGGUGGGAGAUUUUUGAACCUACAUGAAGGGGCUGCAUGGGAUUUCUUUAAUUCACUUUCUGAGAAUUCUCAACAGUGAGAUUUUUCAAGCCAAAGGGAAAAAUCAUCUCAAGUUUCUAGAAAGGGGUUAUAUGAAGUUAAGGAUGAUUUUGAUGUGAAAUCCACUCUAAUUACACUUUCUAGAAAAGUAGAUGCCUUAGCUCUGAACCAAUCAAUGAAUCAUCAUCCUAGUGUAGCUAAUGAGGUUUGUGCUAUUUGUUCUAACUUGUCUCAAACAGCACAAAACUGUCCAUCAUUACCAGUCUAUCCAGAGGCUUAUUCUGAGCAGGUACAUGCCUUACAAUCAUAUGAGAAAACCUCCAAUAAUACAUAUUCACUCACAUAUAAUCCUAAUUGGAGGAAUCACCCUAAUUUUUCUUGGAAACAAAAUCAAUCUUUGUCAAACCAAGGAGGACAACAAUUUAACAUGCCCAAUCAACAAUUUGUCCCUCCUAACCAAGUAUAUCCUCCUGCCCAACAACCUAUAUCUCAAUUUGUUACACCCCAACAAAGAAAACCUUCUUUAGAGGAUACACUUCAAAGUUUCAUUCAGUCAACCUAAUAAGCUUUUCAGUCAAACACUCAAGCUAUUCUAAAGCUUGAACAUCAAUUGGGUCAAUUAGCAACUACUGUAGCGGAGAAAGAAAAAAGAAAAUUCCCCAGUCAAUCAAUUCCUAAUCCUAAAGGAGUGCAUGAAGUUGGAUCGAGUUCAAGCCAUCAGCAUGAAGAAGCAAAAUCAAUUAUGACCUUGAGAAGAGGAAAAUUGUUUGACAACAAAGUGGAGGUUCAAACAAAGAAGACAUCUGAGCCUACUUCUUCAGAUCCAAUUACAUCACAAGAAUCAUCACCAAAUGAUCUUGAAGAGAGUGACCCGCUAGCUUACAUUCCCAAGGCUCAUUUUCCUCAAAGGUUAACAAAGGUAAAGAAAGGGACUUCAACAUGUGAGAUUAUAGAAAUCUUCAAGCAGGUAAGUAUAAACAUCCAUUUACUCGAUGCUAUUAAGCAAGUUCCUUCCUAUGCCAAGUUUUUGAAAGAUUUAUGCACUAAAAAGAGAAAUUUGCAUGUCACUAAAAAGGCGUUUUUAACUGAACAAACUAGCAAUUUACUUCAAUGUAAAAUGCCACCAAAAUUUAAGGAUCCUGGUUCUCCUACUAUUUCAUGUGUUAUAGGGAACCAAUGUUUUGAUAAAGCAUUAUUGGAUUUAGGUGCUAGUGUUAAUCUCUUACCUUAUUCCAUUUACAUGCAGCUUGGACUAGGUGAGUUAAAAUCAACUCCUAUUAUUUUGCAACUUGCUGAUAGGUCAAUGAAAAUACCUCGUGGUAUUAUAGAGGAUGUGUUGAUACAGAUUGACAAAUUUUAUUAUCCUGUUGAUUUUAUUGUUAUUGAUACUCAACAUGUACAUGAUCUUAAGAAACACACUCCACUUAUUCUUGGUCGUCCUUUCUUAGCUACAGCUGAUGCUCAUAUUAGUUGCAGGACUUGAAACAUGCAAUUGUCUUUUGGUAACAUGACCAUGGAAUUAAAUAUUUUUAAUGUUCCCAAGCAGGCACAAGAAGAUGAUGAAGUCGUUGAAGUAGAUAUGAUAGAAGCAUCAAUUGAUGACUCACUUAUUUCUAACCAUUGUGACAAUCCAUUAAUACCUUGCACAACUGACUCUGAUUUCUCUAUUGAUGUUGAUAGUGAUAUUGAAGAAGUUAAUGCUUUACUUGAUUCGACUCUUAUCAUAGAUCUAAUUAAGUGGAAAGAAAAGAUAAGAUUGAGCCACUUCCUCCUGAAGAGAAAAGUGCAACAUAGGUCACAUUCUGACAUAAAAAAGGUGGUAAGAUCUAAAACGCUUAAAUUAUUAGAUUUUUAUACUACUUUAGAUAACUCUCAGGAAAGCUUAGAACAGAAGAGAUCAAAGCAAUGCGAUAUUGAGGAGUUUCAUUACCAUCAUCCUUUUAUGGAUAAAAUGCUCCAGUGCUUAAUCAAUUAUGCUUUUUGGUAUUUUCUAUAUAAUUGCUUUAAUUUUCACCAAAUUCUUAUUGAUCCUGGUUGAUUUGUUGUUUACAUUAAUUAGUUAGUUAGUCGGAUUUUUUUAUUAUUAUUUAUAUUUCUUCUAACGUUUUCUUUUGAGUUGUCAUUCUUUUAAGUUUUCCUAGCUCAGUCAGGUGUGUUCUCUCCAACUUUCUCUUUUAUUAUUUAUGUUUUUAUUUUUCAUCUUUUUGCGUGCAUAUCUUUUAUUUAUGACACAUUGAGGACAAUGUUCCGAAUAAGUUUGGGGGUGGGAAUAAUGUUGCUUUGUUUGUUAAAAAAAACUAAAAAAAAAUUUCAAAAAUUCAAAAAAAAAUUGUGUUUUUUUUGUUUUUACGUGAAAAGCCAAUGAUAAAAACUUGAUUGACAAUGAAUAUGGUUUUUAGAAAGGGUUUAAUAUUGUCUUAAUUUAUACUUGAUUCUUAUGUUAGUUCCUCUUGAUUGAGAUUCUUUAAAAUAUAAGCACUAAUAUCAAUUCUUUCAUAAUUUUGACUUGAAAUUUGAGAUUGACGCAGCCUGAGUUGAGAAUUUUAGAUAGAGUAAAUGACUGUUUGUCUUUAUUCUUAUCUCCACAAUACAAAAUAGUAUACACAGGCACCAAAGUCAGAAAUAACUACCUAUAAUCCUUAAGAGUGAAGCUAUCCUUGAGUAAUUUAGGCCUAUGUACCACAAGUAUGUAGAGGAUAAUCUACCAUGAGAAGAAUGCUACCUUAAGGGGUAGAGUGAAAGCUCCUGACUAUGGUUAAAAAAAAAAGAAGAAGAAAAAGAGAAAGAAAAAAUCAAAUCAAGUGCAUGUGCUGAAAAAAAAAUCAAAAGAAAAUGCACAUAAAAGCCUGUGAAAAAAAAAUUGGAGAUUAAGAUGAUAAGAUUAGCUUGACCUACUCUUUUCUUUUUUUGAGGCGAAGGUUGUUGAUAUUGAAGAUUUUAGGAAUGAAUUUGAUUGAAUUGAUUUCACACACACACAACAAGAAUCGAAAGAGAGAUGGGAUUGAUUAUUGAAUUAAAGUUAGAACUUUGCCAAUAUUUGAAAUUUUGUUUGAGCUAUAUAAUUUAUGCAAUCUUUGAGGGUAUUUUCAUAUUUUAUUUAAAGUUUUUUUUUCUUUUUAUUUUAUUUUAUUUAUUUUUUAUUUUUUUAAAAUGAUGUUUGUGGGUGUCAUCACUGAAGCUCUCACGAGACUAUAACUCGUCCACUAGGGGUUUAAAGGCUUGUUGCAUACGCUAAAUGCAAUCGCGAUUACCUGCGAAAAUGGUUUAGUUAGGAUUUACUUUUUGUUUUGUUAUUUUUUUUUUUUUUUUUAGUUUUAGCUUUGCUCGAGGACUAGCAAAAUCUAAGUUUGGGGGUAUUUGAUGAGCAUAAUUUAUAUACAUAUUUUACCUUUAAUUAUAUAAUUAUUAGUUAUCUUUAUUAGUUAUUUUUAAUUAAUUGAAUUAUUUUAUUGCAUAGGGAAUUAAUUGGAGAUUGGGAAACAAAAAGUGCAUAAAGAAUAACAAGUUUGGGAAAGCAUCAAUCAAAGCCAUGACACAAUUAAGAGUUUAUAGCAUAUGAAGGCAAGAGUAAUUUGCACUAAAAAAGAAUUUCAAUUAUUCAAGUGAUCUGGACGUGCAUAGUAUUGUAAUGCAUGGAAAGCAACUUAAAGGGGCCCACACUUGGCUUUUACAAUUGGAAAAAGGAAUCCUAGUGCAAGCUUAAUUGGUGAGCACGUGAGUGAGAGCAAAGAAAAUUAAAAGGCCAAGCCUUUUGGCUUAAGGAAAUAACAAGGUCGGUGGGGCCCAUUUUAAAGAGUAAUAUAAAAGCAAGCUUUUGGCUUUUGGAGAGAGAAGCCGCCAGAGGAGGAAAACGCGAGACAAAGAGAAGAAAAUAUGCCGCAGUUCGACUUCUAUGGUUGGUUUUAUCUCUUUUGUUACUCUUAAUUCAAGUAUGUCUAGCUAAUUUUCUUAUAUUGAAGUUAAGGAUGAAAUCAUAUUCAAUGAAAUAAUUAUCUUUUUAUUUAUUUAAUUCCCAUAUAUGUUCUUUAAUGAUUAUGAUUUUUAUUUCACAUGAUUAAUUGGAUGUUAUUAAAAUCUUUUCAUCAAUUCUGUCAUAUAUUAUUGAUUGUUAUGAUUAAUAUUAAAUUAAAUCUAUACUUGGAUUUAUAAAGUUUAUACAUGAUUAUCUUUGAUUCUAUGUCUUUCAUUAAAUUGUUUACAUGGAGUGCCUAGGAAAACUUUGACUCUUUGUUAUUCAAUAUGUUCACAUGGGAUACUUAGAUGUCGUACUAUUAAGCGGAAAAAGAACCUAUAUUAGAUUUAAUUAUUUGGGCUUAAUUGUUAUAUCCAUGAGAUGACAUAGAUUGAUUUCGAGUUGUCACUCUAAAAUUGGGGAUUAAUGAAUAUUUAGAUAAUUACUAGUUGAAUAGUGGUGGAUUCUGAAACCUUGGUAAUUUCUAUCUUAUUGAAUUCUCCUUUACUUUAAUUGUUUUCUUAGUUUAAUUAGUUUAAUUUCUCUUAAAACUCAAUUCGCUCAACUAGGUUAGAAUUAAUAUUAAUUUUAGAUUUAAAUUAGACUUUUCAAUUUAUAACAAUCCCUGUGGGAUCGACCUCGUUACCACUACUCUAUUUCUAGAUUCGUGCGCUUGCGAGUAUAUUAAAAUUUUCACAACAUUCGGCACUCUCACUCCUUAAGAGAGGUCAGGGGUUCAAGCCUCGCUCUCGUAUGGAGUCACCACUUUGACCAGCACUUUACCCCUUACAGACCGACCCGGUGCGAGCAUGAAUUAGUCUGGGUUGUGGUACGGGCUUAAAGGUGCCUCCCACAAUUGAGACCCACUCAGGACCACCUCGUGGUUCGGACAAAAAAAAAAUUGAAAUAAAUUAUCUCAAAAUAAUUACUAACCAGAAAAAACAAAGGGGUUUAACUAGGUUAUGCAUACCUUUGAAAAUUAUAUGUUGAUCGAUAAGCAUGAUGAUCACGAUUGAGGAGUUUAAUUAAAAUUUAUAAGAUUUUAAAAUUAAUCAGGGUUAAAUUCUAAAUUUUAGAAAGAGAGGUUUUGUGAGAAUGCUGAAAGGGUGUUAAUAGUUCCACUCUUUUUUAAAAAAACCAUAGUCAUCAUUUUUCCCGAUUUCUUCUUCCCAUCUCCAUCUUAUUUAGAAAUUUCCCAGAGCCUUUGUUUCCCACCAUUCAUUUUUCUUCUUUCUAAUUUAAGAUUAUAGUAUUAUAAAAAUAAUUACUCACAUUUUAUCAAACACCUCCAUUAUACCAAGGCCUUGUUUUAGUAGUAGGCUUUUAUUAUCUCAAUAAAAUUGAAAAAACAAAGCUCAAUAAUAUUGGAAAAAAAACCUACCCAUAUUUGUAACUUUAAUUUAUUAUUCUCCAUAGACCUACUUUUUAGCUUUGAAUUUUGUUGGAGCCAUAUAUAAACAGAAUAUGUUGAAAUCAGCACAAAAAAAAAACUAAUUAUAUAAUUUUUGUUCCCAAGGACACGACUGUGUGAUUUUUAAGAAGUUUUGUUUGGCUGGCCACUUAGGUUUAAAUCUUGGUGGAGAUUAGGGGUUAAGAAAUAAAUUUGGACUUUGCACACCCCUUUAACUUUUAAAAAGAAUGAAAAAAACUAAUUAAUUAAUCUUUAUUUUAUUUAUUAAAUGUCAUAAUCAUAUGCAUAUUUUAUUUGUUAUCUUUCUAUUUAAAAGAUAGGAGGGCAAAUAAAACUGAAAUAAAUGUUUAUCCCUAUCUCCAUCUUUCAAGUUCCAUAGUUAGGUGACCAGCUAAAGAAAAUUAAUUGAAAGUUACUCCAUCAAAUUAAAAAAAAUUAUUUAUUUAAUUUGUGGAGAUGUAGAAAAUCAAACCCCAUACCUUUUCGCAUGCAAAAGUGUCAACCUGGUCUAGCUAUGUUGCAACAGUAAACAUAUUUUAAUACAUGACUAUCAUCUUUUAUCCUAAAUACUACUAUAACUAUGGGUUCAGUUAUGCUGUAACUGUGGUAUGGUACCACAGUUGUUUUCAACCAUUAAAUUCAACUUAUAUAACUAUGCAACUGUAGAUCUAACGGCUGAAAGCAACUAUGGUACCAUACCACAGUUGCAACAUAGUUUUGCCCCUAUAACUCAUAACAUUCAAUUGAAAUAAUAAAUGUUAACACUUGGCUAUAAAUAAAGGUUUUGUACUUGAAUCUUCAUGCAUGACCUUCAUUCCUUUAUUGACUUUGCUAACACAGAUUUUGAGGCAUUAAAACUAAAUAAUAAUUGACUUUGUGGGCCGAGGAUGCCAGCAACAAGGAGACCACAAUUAUCACUAGUUAAGUUACUCUAAUUGCCGUUGUCUUAUAUUCAUAAAAUAUUAGUAAUAAGAUUAUUGUAGAAUUUUUUUAUAUUAAAAUUAAGUCAAUUUGUUAUAACAAAUUUAGUUGAGUUUAAUCGUGUUACUACAUACAUUGAAUAAUAAUAGAAUUCUCGACAAAUAUUUCAAUAUUUUUAUCCCAAGCGUUGGAGUGGCAUUUAUUUGUUAGACAAUCGAUUUUAGAACUUAUAAAAUUAUUCGUUACUGAAUUGCACCAUAUGCUGCAUGACCUGAAACUUAAUAAACGGAACGUAGCGUUGGCAACAUUCACUGUCAUGACUUUGUGACAUUAGAAUUAAAUUUUUUUGCACAUUUAAUUUGUUUACUUCCAAAUUAAUAUUUAACAAAAUAUUUUUUCACAUUAUCAAUGGACAAAACUCCAACGAAAAUAACUAUACAAUAUAUGCUAGUAUUGUAUGCCAUAUCAUCUGUAAUUUUGUCAGGAUCGAUCAUUUUAAUUUUUAAGCAAAACUUUUUAUCAAUGGACAAACACCUCACACAGCUUGUCAGAGGCAUUAUUAUGAUGGAAAACUGAUAAACAGUGAACUCGAAACUCAAUUACUACAAGUCGUUUAGAGGAUUCAGUCUUGGAUGACUUGUCACUUGUGGAAUUCUUGAAGCCAGAACCGACAUAAUCUCAGUCGUCAUUCUGUCUUAAGUAAUACACAUGGUUUGCAUGUGUGUUGAAGCUGACUCUUUGCUUGGAUCAAGAAACGACGUCUUUGAGUGCCGUUUCUUAAACACACUUUAAAUCAGCUUGUGUCAAGCACGUGAGGUAGAGCUUUUUGAAUAGAUUUGGCGGGAAUGGUAGUUAGUGUAACAACCCAGAAAUAGAGGUUAAAAGGUGAAGGCUUUGUCAUCAUCUACACAUGAUUUGGGAAACAUUGAGAGUAGAGAAAAAGAUAGAGAGAGAAAGGGGUUAACAAGUUCUUGUUCUCUGUAAAUCGAUUUAUAUUCUUGUAAAGUUUGUGAUCUCAAUUAGUGAAAGACUGUUGCUUUGUUUCCAGUGGAUGUAGGCACCACUUCUUGGUGCUGAACCACUUAUACUUGGUGUCAUAUUGUUUCUUUAAUGCUUUGAUUCUUGCGUGUGAUUGUUGCUGGAUAAUCUGUGCUGUUAAUUCUCAAACCAUUGAUACAGAAUUAAUGUCUUGGGGAGAAUUUGGUUAGUCUUAUCAAAGCCGAAUUCACAACAAAUUGGUAUCAGAGCCCUCUUUUCUGUAUCAAGGUUCAAGAAAUGACUAACAAGGUGGAUCUUGAGAAGUUCAAUGGUCAGAAUGAUUUCAAUAUGUGGAGGAUCAAGAUGGAAGCAUUGUUAAUCACACAAGGUCUGGGAGAUGCCAUUGAUCCAGUCAUUAAGAGUGAAAAUGCAGAAGCCUAUUCUUCAAGAACUCCAGAACAGAUGGCUAAGAUUGAAAAAAAGGCAAGAAGCACCAUCAUCCUCAGUCUUGGUGACUUAGUGAUAAGGGAAGUUGCCAAGAAAAAGACUGUUGCUAGGCUCUGGGCAAAACUGGAACAAUUGUAUAUGACAAAGUCCUUAGCAAACAGGCUAUACAUCAAGAAAAAGAUGUUCUCACUGAGGAUGAUUGAAGGAGCAUCACUUGAUGAACACAUAGAUGAGUUUAAUAAAGUUUGUGAUGAACUGGAAACAAUUGAUGAAGGACUGAGUGAUGAGAGCAAGGCUUUGCUGUUAAUCAGUUCUUCACCAAAAUCAUAUGAACAUUUUGUGGAUGCCUUGUUAUAUGGAAGGCAAUCACUCUCCUUGGAAGAGGUUAAAUCUACUCUUGGUACCAAGAAGUUAAAAGAAAAACAAGAUAACUCAGAGAGUGAAUCAAGUGAAGGGCUGAUGGCAAGGGGCAGAUCUGAAAAAAAGGAGUACAAAGGAAAAAAACAAGGGAGAUCAAAGUCAAAGCAGAAACAUUUGAAGUGUUUUCACUGCCACAAAGAAGGGCAUUUCAAGAGGGAUUGCCCUGAGAGAAAAACAAAGCAAAAGGAAUCAAAAGACAAAUCUGGAAAUACAGCAAUAGCCACAGAAGAAACCAGUUUUGAGAUAGCUGAAGUCCUCAUUGCCACAAAAGAAAAAAACUCAAGGUCAGUGGGUACUAGACUCUGGAUGUACUUUUCAUAUGAGUCCAAAUAGAAAUUACUUUACUACAUAUCAGUCCUGUGAUGGGGGUAUGGUGCUGAUGGGAAAUAAUUCAGUUUGUAAAGCAGUUGGGAUUGGGACUGUAAGCCUUAAGAUGUAUGAUGGCAUGGUUAGAGAACUAACUCAGUUUAGGCAUGUUCCUGAGCUUAAAAGGAACCUAAUAUCUAUUGGCAUGCUUGAUCAAACUGGAUGUGUCAAUAAGGCUGAAAAUGGGUCAUUGAAAGUUAUCAGAGGCUCAAUAGUCAUAAUGAAAAGUUCCAAGCAAAAUGGUUUGUAUGUGUUGAAUGGACAUACAACUGUUGGAGAGGCAAGUGUCACUGAGAAGAGUGAAGACAAAGCAAGACUAUGGCACUUGAGGUUGGGGCAUAUGAGUGAAAGGGGAUUGAAGGAGCUUCAAAAGAAUGGGGUGUUUGGAAGUGACAAGCUAAGUUCUUUGGGGUUCUGUGAAGACUGUAUCCUAGGGAAGGCUUCCAAUCUCAAGUUUGAAUCUGCAGUUCAUUCUACCAAAGAGAAGCUUGCAUAUAUACACUCUGAUAUGUGGGGGCCUGCACAGGUAAAUUCUCUUGGUGGCUUUAAGUAUUUCUUAUCCUUAAUAGAUGACUAUUCAAGGAUGGUUUGGGUGUAUGUACUCAAAACCAAAGAUGAAGCUUUGGAAAAGUUUUAGAGGUGGAAAAUUCUGGUAGAAACACAGACAAGUUUGAAAGUAAAAGCUCUAAGAACAGAUAAUGAAUUGGAAUUCUGCAACAAAGAGUUUGGAGACUUUUGUAAAAGACAUGAGAUUAUGAGGCACAAAACAGUCAUACACACACCUCAGCAAAAUGGUUUUGCUGAGAGAAUGAACAGAACCUUAAUGGACAAGGUGAGGUGUAUACUGCUAUACUCAAAGCUGCCUAAGUCACUCUGGGCAGAGGCCUUAAACACAGCAUGUUACUUGGUAAAUAUAAGUCCAUCUACAGCAAUAGAAUGCAAAACACCUAUCGAGCUAUGGUCUGGAAGGGUUGCAGAUUACUUUAAACUGAGAAUCUUUGGAUGUGUUGCUUAUGCAUAUGUCAAACAAGGCAAAUUGGAGCCAAGAGCUUUAAGGUGUAGAUUUCUAGGAUACCCUGAUGGAGUUAAAGGCUAUAGGCUAUGGUGCAUUGAUUUGAAGCCACCAAAAUGCAUUAUCAGCAGGGAUGUAACUUUCAAUGAGUCAGAAAUCUUGAACAAAUCCAAAACCACUUAAUCCAAAGAUCAUAUAUCAGAAACAAGACCUGGGAGUGUUCAGUUUGAGGUGGAGUCCUAUGAACAAGAUAGGACUGAAUCAGAAACUGAAGGAGAUUCAGGAAGGGUUACUGAUGGAUUUGAUGUUGUUCAGGAGUCAGAGCCAGCUGAGAAUGAAGAUAAUUCUUAUCAGUUGGUCAGGGAUAGAAAGAAGAGAGCUGUAAGACCACCUAAGAGGUAUACAAUAGCAGAUUUCAUAGCUUAUACAUUAACAGUUGCACAAGAGGUAAAUGAGGAAGAGCUAAGAACCUAUAAAGAAGCUAUAAACAGCAUGGAUAAGAUGAAAUGGAAGGAGGCUAUGGAUGAGGAAAUUGAAUCACUAAUGAAAAAUGGAACUUGGAAGCUGAUAGUUAGACUAGAAAAAAGGAAGACUGUUAGCUGCAAAUGGAUCUUCAAAGUUAAGGAAGGUAUAUCUGAUGCUGAACCUAGUAGGUUUAAAGCUAGGCUGGUAGCAAGAGGCUUCACACAAAGAGAGGGGAUUGAUUUCCAUGAAAUCUUCUCUCUAGUUGUGAAACAUGCCUCCAUCAGAGUCAUCUUAGCUUUAGUUGCCAUUCAAGACAUGUACCUGGAGCAUAUGGAUGUUAAAACAGCCUUCCUGCAUGGUGAAUUACAAGAAGAAAUUGUAAUGGAACAGCCUGGGGGGUAUGUGGUGUCUAGUAAGGAAAAUCAUGUGUGCUUACUAAAGAAAUAUUUAUAUGGAUUAAAGCAGUCUCCUAGGCAAUGGUACUUGAAGUUUGAUAGUUUUAUGACAAAACAUGCCUACAAGAAAUGCAAUUAUGAUUGUUGCGUGUACUUUAGGGACAUUGGUGAUGGAAAGAUGAUUUAUCUUAUGCUGUAUAUGGAUGACAUGCUUAUAGCAUGUCACAGCAUAGAUGAAAUCAGUCAUUUAAAGAAUCUCUUGAGCAGUGAAUUCGAUAUGAAAGAUCUUGGAGCUGUAAGGAAGAUCUUAGGUAUGGAAAUUAUCAGAGACAGGAGAAGGAAGCUUAUGUUUUUAACCCAACAGAGCUAUGUUAAGAAGGUGUUGCUUAGAUUUGGGAUGCAUGAAUCCAAGUCUGUUCAAACACCUUUGGCAAAUCACUUCAAGCUGUCUGCUGCACAUUGUCCACAAACUGAUGCAGAGCAAGGAAAAAUGGCAAGGAUACCUUACUCCAGUGCAGUUGGGAGCCUCAUGUAUGCCAUGGUUCUCACUAGACAUGAUAUCUCACAUGCUGUGAGUAUAGUGAGUAGAUUCAUGGCAAAUCCAGGUUAUGAGCAUUGGAGGGCAGUCCAGUGGAUAAUGAGGUACCUGAAAGGCACUAUGGAGUUUGGUCUGCUAUAUGGAGGGUUAAAACAGGAAGGGCACAAGCUGGUGGGGUAUGUUGACUCAGACUUCGCUGGAGAUCUUGAUAAAAGGAGGUCUCAGACAUGUUUUAUAUUCACUUUGGGAGGCUGCACUGUGAACUGGAAAGCUACUCUGCAAAGUGUGGUAGCUUUGUCCACAACUGAAGCCGAAUAUACAGCAGCUGCAGAAGCUUUUAAGGAAGUCAUCUGGUUAAAAGGAAUGGUCUCAGAGUUAGGAGCAAAACAAGAAACAGUUGAAGUAUACUGUGAUAGCCAGAGUGCAAUACAUUUGAGUAAAAACCAGACCCAUCAUGAAGGAACAAAACAUAUUGAUGUAAAGCUUCAUUUUGUAAGACUUGAAGUUUCAAAGGGAACUGUGAAGAUGCUCGAGGUUCACACUGAUCAAAAUCCAACCGAUAUGUUGACUAAAGCUGUGCCUUCUGCCAAGCUCAACUUCUGUUUGAGCUUAGCAGGAAUUUGCAGUUUCUGAUCAGCUGCAAAAGAAAGGGAAUAAAGUAUACAGGAGUAGCUAGAGUUCAGAGUUCACACUGAUUAAAAGGUGCAGGCUUUGUCAUCGUCUACACAUGAUUUGGGAAACACAGAGAGUAGAGAAAAAGAUAGAGAGAGAAAGGGGUUAACAAGUUCUUGUUCUCUGUAAAUCGAUUUCUAUUCUUGUAAAGUUUGUGAUCUCAAUUAGUGAAAGAUUGUUGCUUUGUUUCCAGUGGAUGUAGGCACCACUUCUUGGUGCUGAACCACUUAUGCUUGGUGUCAUAUUGUUUCUUUAAUGCUUUGAUUCUUGCGUGUGAUUGUUGCUGGAUAAUCUGUGCUGUUAAUUCUCAAACCAUUGAUACAGAAUUAAUGUCUUGGGGAGAAUUUGGUUAGUCUUAUCAAAGCCGAAUUCACAACAAAAACUGUAAUGGUAUAUCUUGAAUUAUUGGUAGAAUAGUUCUUUGGAGCAAUAAAAACAGAUAAGACAGAUGAGAAAAUUGUCAAUACCCCACCGCAAAAGCAAAAGAAAACAAGGAAAGGAGACAAAAGAGGAAGAAGAAAAAGAAAAAAGAACGAAGAAAAAAAUGGUGCCGUGCGGUAUAGGCAAGAAGAAAAAAUAAUAAAAAAUAAUAAAAUAAUAGUGCACAACAAUCAUUUGAUUGCUAUAAAUAAAAGGCGUUUCCCUCAUUUUAUUCAUCGAAUUCUUCAGUUCCUUUCAAGCGAUUUAAGAGUCUAGUGAUUUGAGAGUUUGGGUGUAGUAUGAUUUUGGGUAGUGAGCUAAAAUACUACAAUACUUGUAACUCAUUUUUAUUAGUAAAAUAUUUUCCUUCUGACUUCGCCCGUGGACGUAUGCUAAAAGCCGAAUCACGUAAUUUCUGGUGUCCCUAUGUGAUUAUGUGUCUCAUUAUUUCUUAAUUUCACUUUAGUUGCGUGUCUGCGACACCCCUCAAUUUAUUAACAAAAAAUGGCCAAAAUUAUAUAAGUGACCCAAAUUUUUUUGUUAUUUCCAAGAAAUCCCCAAUCUGAAUGGGCUAGACCAGAGGGAGGCAAGUUAGAAAUACAUUUCCUUCAUAGACAAUAACAGUGAUGAGUCGAUGACAUCAAGCCACGUCGGUAUCAAUAUUGAAUUAAAGGUGCAAUUAUUCAGCCAAUGAACCUUACACAUCAAGAUAAAAGUCAAGAAAAUGAAAAUUUAUCCCAAUUAAAACACUUUCUGGCUGCAUUUAGUUGUUUCCAUUAGAAGUUAAAAACAACGUUUCUUUCGUUUUGUGGGCAACUCAACUGAGUUAGCUGGCUUCUAGUGCUAGUAUGUGAAAAUAGAAGGCUAAUGAUUUAUUUAUUAUCUUUUGACAAAAUUAUUAAAGAUAUAAUAGAUUUUCUAUGAUACAAGUGAAAAAUCACAUCAACAUAGCUUUCAAUCUACAGCAGCUAGCGUUUACCAAACACUUUGUUGUAGCUUUUAAGCUAUAGCUGCCCAACCUCAAUCUCAAACGCACCCUUAAUAGGUUGAUUGAAUUUGUGAGAUAUGGAUUCCACAUAUCUCAUGACCUAGUAAUUAUACAAGUGGUUCGUGAUCAAGACACAACAUUUGCUUCCGGCCUAGUGACCCAGCAAUCGCUGCACUGGUCGCCACCUAUGGUGCCGACGAUAUUGCAUGGUCCAAUUGUGGCCUUGAAUGGAAAAAGUUGAGCAAAUUAUUUGUGGACACGAUGAUAAGUAACGCAAGCCUUGAUGCUAGUUAUGGUCAAAGAAAACAAGAGGUUAAGAAUACUAUCAGAGAUAUUCAUAACAACAAAAAGGAAAAAAAAAAGGCAUUUGCAAGCCCAUUGAUAUUGGUGAAUUGUCGAUUUCAACUUUGGCAUGUGUAAUCCAGAACCUGCGCGCUGUGGUAUGGCGCUGGCACGCUUGCAUUAACGAGGGGACAAGUCUUGGGGCUGAGCUAACAUUUAAGCUCGCAGAACUCAUGGUGCUAAUGGGAACACCAAAUAUUUUUUUGACAUAUUUUGGUGCUUUCAUGGUUUAAUUCAAGGUAUAGAAAGGAGUGUUGAGAAUGUCAAAUAAAACGGCAUUGAAUGGAAGUUGUCAAAGACACGAUCCGCACCGAACGGCAACGACACGGUUGCUAAAAAUCCUUCCAUAAUAUGCAUAUCUAAUUUUUUAAAAAGUGUAACCUCUGCAUUUAUAAAUAUACUCAAUGUAUAAUGUUUUACUUAAGAAAUGAAAAACUUGUUUGUUCAAGGAGAAUAAAGAAAAUUUUUCUAUGAUUUUUUUAUGGUUUGAACAAAGAAGGUUUUAAUGAGUAUUAUAGACCUCGAUUGAAUGUUCGAAUGUAUAAUAAAAGAGAAACUGUCACAUAAAUGACAAAGAUACUUGGAAAAAAAAAAAGGGCAGCAAUAGAGAAUUAGAUUCGACUGCACAAAUAACUAGUUAAUUCAUCAAUACAUCAUUUUCUUGCUAGAAAAUGACAAUUAUGACAGCAAGCCACGAUAGUGUCAAUAUUGAAAUUGAUUUGCAAUUAUUCAGCCAAUGUGCCUUACACGUCAAGAUAAAAGUCAAGAAAAUGAAAGUUAAUAUCAAUUAAAACACUUCCUGGGCCGCAUUUAGCUCCAGUUUUUGUGGUAGGAAAACAAAGUUUUGUUUUAAAUUCACAUGGUGUGCACUUCCUAUAUAAAUCUAGAGUUGUGUCCCACGUUGAACAAUAAAGGAAAGUCACCUAAAUAUACAUGUAGGAUAAGUUACUUUAUUUAGUAAGUUUGUAUUUUCUUCUUUCUUCUAGUUUACAUAUAAAUUUGAUUAGAUAACUUAACACAUAUUUUAAUACUUGAUCAGAAGCCCUACGUACAGGUGGAUCUAGAAACUUGAUUUCUAAGAGUAAUACUAUAAUAAAAAAAUAAUGAUUCAUAGAACCAAUAUCAAAAUUUGUUUACAAGAUUACCCCCACUCAAAGGUAAUUUUCAUAGAAAUUAAUAGGAAAUUUAAUUGUUAGUGGGGUCAAAUUGCCCCCACACUCUGAAUGUAGAUCCACGCCCGACCCUGAGUCAAGUAUAUUUUGCCACAUAUACUCUGAAUGUCGGCAGGAAAAAUCUUCCACUUUAGUUUAAAAUUUUCACUUAAAAUUUAUUUACGUUAAUAAAGUUGGUAAAGGAAAUGAGUUUAAUUAAAGAAUAUUAUAGGAGAAAUUCUAUUGUUUGGCUUUUAAUAAAUUAAUUAAUAGGUUUAAAAAGAUUAAUAUACAUCAAAAUAUUAUUAGUUGGUGGUGGUUCCACAUCGGACUAAGACGUGGCACCUUACUUGUGAGAUUAAGACAAUCAGGCUUAGACUAUUUAAAUAUGUUUGAAGCUUAGAUGGCACCGCUUCAAUUUGCAUUAAUGAAUGUCAUUCUUUACCCUAAUUACUACGUAAUUGAUAACAUGCAAUUGAAAUAACUAAUAUUAGCACUUGGCUAUAAAUGAACUAAAGGCCGUGCAAUUGAAUCUUUACUUGAUCACUUCAUUCCUUUAUUUUGCUAACACAGAUUUUGAGAUAUUAAAACGAAAUAAUAAUUGAAUCUGGCUUUGUGGGUCGAUGAUGCCAGCAACAACGAGACCACAAUUAUCACUUGUUUAUUUGCUGUAUUUGACGUUGUUUCAUAUUGGUAGUAAUAACUAAUAAGGUCGUUGUAGAGUUUUUAAUCUUUUUUUUUAUAUUAAUCACGAGGUAUCCUGGGGAGGGCCCCAACUGUGGGAGGCACCUUUAAGCUCGUACCACAACCCAGACUAGAAGUCCCCGCUCGAACCGGGAGGCACAGUUUUUAAUCUUUUUUAUAUUAAAGUUAAGUCAAUUUGUUAUAAAUAAAUAAAAAAUUGGUUGAGUUUAAUUAUAUUGCUAUGUACAUUAAAUAAUUAUAAUAUUCUCGAGGGAAAAAGACACCUAGAACCUCAAGGUUUGGGGAAAUGGUCACAAAAACUCCUAAGUUUUAAAAAAGGAACACUAAAAUCUUUUUUUACCCAUAAUACCCUUUGACUAUAGUAAUUAGAAAAUUGACUUUAAAGGUUUUUAAAUAAUACAAAUUUAAUAUAAAUCAUAUAAUCUAUCUAGUACACUAAUAAUAUUAAAUUAUUUUUUAUAUUUAAAAUAAUGUUAAAAAAUUUAAAUUAUUAUAUUUAUUUUAAUAAUAUAUUUAUAAAAUUAUAAAGAUUUUAAAUAAAUCUUUGGAUUGAAUAUAUUUUACAAUUAAAAGUCUUCCUAUUAAUAAUAUUAAAAUUAAAUUUUAAGUAAUAUAUAUUCAAAAUAUUUUUAAUUUAAUUUUAUUUAUUUUAAUAUUAUGUUUCUAUCUAUUAUUAAAAAUUACUUUAAUAUAAUAAAAUAGGUCUAAUAGAUUGAAAAAUAUGAAAAUAUUUUUAAAAUUUUAAAUUAUUUUGAAAUGUAUAUAUUAUUACAUUUAUUUCAAUGUCAUAUUUCCAUUUAUUAUAAAAUUUUGGGGUUAUUUUUUUGGGAAUUUAUAGAGUCAAAGAGCAUUAUGGUUAAAAAAGAGUCUUGGUGUCCCUUAUUGAAAACUUUAGAGUUUUUGUGACCAUUUUCCUAAAUCUUGGGGGUGUUGAAGUGGCACUUAUUGUAAGAUUGAUUUUAAAAUAUGUAAAAUUAAUUUUAUUACAUUACCAUAUGCUACAUCACCUGAAACUUAAUAAAUGGAACGUAGCAUUACUCCACGUUCACCGUUAUGACCUUAUGACAUUAGAAUUAAAAUCUUUCGUACGUUUAAAUUGUUUACUUCCAAAUUAAUCUUUCGUAAAUAUUUUGUACAGAUCUUAUCGGAGUUAGCGUGUUCAUUACAGUGUUUCUUUUCUUUUAUCCUUUCUUUUGAAACGUAUUUCCUGUGGACAAGGAAAGCAAAUAAUACCCUGCCACCAGGACCUCGCGGCUUGCCUGUAAUCGGAUACCUUCCAUUUCUCGGAAUUACUGACUUACACAAGACAUUCACGGAAUUAGCUGGUCUAUAUGGCCCGAUCUUCAAACUCUGGCUUGGCAACAAAUUGUGUGUAGUGGUUAGCUCGCCUUCAACUAGUUCUAUAAGAAUAUCCCUUUUAAGGGAUUCUCUCUCUGCAAAAUUUUUUUAUCUUCUGGUGCAUAAUAAAAACUUAUGCCACUUCAUUAACCACAGAUAUCUUUUGAGGAAACGAUGUUUCGUUUUCUUUUGUUUUUUCCUUCCUAAUCCUCGCAUAUCGUGUGAAGGCUAAUAUAUCCAAGAAUCUAAAUCUCUGUAAAUCUUUUUCUAUCCAAAUCUACAUAAUAAUUUAAUCCAUGCACAAUAUCUAUAAUUAUAUCGGCUGUCGGCUGAUUUCGUGGAGGGGGCGGCAGUUCAAAUUUUUUACGUGCAUGUUGGAUGGACGUCUCUAUUAAAGGAGAGCCACCACUUGCAUGGUAAUUUUUUUAAAUAAAUAUAUACAUUUCAAAAUAUUAUUUCAUUGUUGUAUAGUUAACAUGUCACCUUAGAUGUAUUUUAGAACUUCUCCUAUUAAAGAUAAUCUCAUGCAGUGAUACUUCUCGUGAUCUAAUCAUUAGUAGAAUCUAUAAUUUCGCUACUGUAAUAAAAUCUGUCCCUACCCUAUAUGAAUGUAGAUAUUUGACGCGAUUUGUAAUUGCUUCCGACAGGAAAACAGCAAUAGUUUAAUUGAAAUUUGUGGUAUGGAUUCCACGAAUCUUAUGACAGAAUACUGACCACUCCAACCCUAUCCACAUUUACACGAUUAAAACACAAGCUUAGAUGUGACAAUGCAUUUGUCACUUUUGUUCAAAUUCAUCCUGAAACACUAUACACUAAAUAAUCGAAUAUGGCUUCGUGGGUCGAUGAUGCUAGCAGCAACGAGACUGCAAUUAUCACUUGUUUUGUUGCUGUACUUGUCGUGGUCUAUUUCGCAUGGAAUGUAAACAAAUCAAGUAAAGCAAAUGCUAAAUUGCCACCAGGAUCUCGGGGCUUGCCAGUAGUCGGAUACCUCCCAUUUCUUGGAACUACUGACUUACACAAGACAUUCACGGAGUUAGCUGGAGUUUAUGGUCCGAUCUUCAAGAUUUGGCUUGGGAAUAAAUUGUGUGUAGUGGUGAGCUCGCCUACCCUAGUUAAACAAGUGGUCCGUGAUCAAGAUAUAACAUUCUCAAACCGCGACCCACCGAUCGCUGGAACUGUGACCACCUACGGUGGCAAUGAUAUUGCACUUUCCAAUUAUGGUCCCGAAUGGAAAAAGUUGCGAAAAUUAUUUGUGAGCAAGAUGAUGAGUAAUGCAACCCUUGAUGCUUGUUAUGCUCUAAGAAAACAAGAGGUUAAAAAUACUAUCAGGGAUUUGUACAACAACAAUAAGGAUAAUAUUGGCAGUGGCAAUGGCAAGCCCAUUGACGUUGGUGAAUUGUCGAUUUCAACUUUGGUACGUGUUAUGCAGAACAUGCUGUGGGGUCAAGCAUUGGAAACAAGAGAGAAAGAGAUUACUAAUCUCGGGGCUAAUCUUGCAGAACUCAUGGUGCUACUGGGAACACCAAAUAUUUCGGAUAUUUUUCCAGUGCUUUCAUUGCUUGACAUGCAAGGUAUAGAGAGAAGAGCUAAGAAGAUUUCUCUAUGGUUUGAAAACAUUAUCAAUUCUGGUGUUGAACAGUAUAGAAACAAGUUUUCUGUUGUUAAAGGUGAAGAAGCUGCAGCAGGAAAAAAUAUUGAACGAUCAAGAAAUAAGGACUUCUUGCAGUUACUGUUGGAGCUUCAGGAAAAUGAAGAUAGUGCUUCAUCUAUUAGCAUGAACCAACUAAAGGCCGUGCUCGUGGUAUGUUAAGCAACUAGACACAAAAAGUUGUAAAAGCACAGUGAUAUAUUUGCGCGAGGCCGCGAGUGAUGUUUUGCCUCGAGAACUCUCAAUUUUAUCUUACGGUAAAAAAUGUUUUUCAACUUUUUUUAAUUAGAAUUUUAUUGCAAUUUAUUUAACAGGACAUAAUUGUGGCCGGAACCGACACCACAACUACGAUGGUGGAAUGGACAAUGGCAGAGUUGAUGCAACAUCCACAAGUAAUGAAGAAAGUUCAAGAAGAAUUAGCUCAAGUUGUGGGCAUGGACAGUUGUGUUGAAGAAUAUCACUUGCCUAAAUUAAAUUAUUUAGAUGCUGUGGUGAAAGAAACAUUUCGUUUGCAUCCUGCGUUGCCCUUAUUGGUACCUCGCACGGCAAGCGAGAACAGCAAUAUUGGUGGCUAUACCAUUCCCAACGACACUAAUUUUAUGUUGAAUGUUUGGGCUAUUCACAGGGAUCCUCAACUUUGGGAUAAUCCCUUAGAUUUUCGACCUGAGAGGUUCUUGAAUGAUGAUAUCAUAAGCAAAUUCAAUUACUCGGGUAACAAUUUUCAGUACUUGCCAUUUGGUUCUGGUAGAAGGAUGUGCGCUGGCAUUCCUCUAGCUGAGAGGAUGUUGAUGCUUGUUCUGGCUUCGUUGUUGCACUUGUUUGAGUGGAAAUUGCCCCCGGGCACAAAGCUAGACUUAGCUGAAAAGUAUGGGAUUGUCAUGCGGAAAAAAGAGCCUCUGAUUGCUAUUCCAACACCAAGGCUACCAAAUUCAGAUCUCUACCAGUAAGAUCAAAAUGGUUGUGAUGAUAUUAUUUCCCAUUGUAUUGGAAUAUUUUUGUGUGAUUUGAAGUUCAAUCAUAAUAAAAUAUUUUAAUAAAAUGUCCUCGGUUGCUAAUUUUUCAAUAGUAUACUCUAUCAUCGUUUCUAACUGUCUUUUAGAGCCAUUUGGUCUAAUUUAUUUUUGAAUUAAAAUCCAUAAAUAUUUAAAUUUUUGAAUCAUAUUAAGAAUUAUCUGGAGUGUAUGGUCUGAUCUUCAAGUUCUGGCUUGUAAACAAAUUAGAGUUCUGAUAUUUGCCCCGGGUCAAACCCCGAAAUUAAAUAAAACGGCGUCGUUUUGUUUUUUUUUUUUUUUUUUUCUUUUUUACUUCUUCCAAACGUUGCCAUUUCACUUGUCAUUUGCAAGUGACUCCAUUGAUCCUUAGUUGAAACAGAGUUACACCGUAAAUCUCUUCCUCUUCGUUUCUUCGUUUCACCAGGGAACGAGACAGAUAAAAUCCAGCCAUUCUUCGACAUAACAAGAUAUCGAUUAGAAUCCAACGACAUAACUAUAAACCAUGACAUUGCGCUUGAUUUUGCGAAAUACCGAUUAAGAACCAGUAACUUUGAAUCCAAUGACCGUUAAGAGUUUGAAAUUGGUUUCAAAUGACUAAUGAGUUAUCAGAUUUCUUUGCGUCUACAUUUUCCUUGAAGGUUUCUCAGCAGCCAAACAAAUACAAAGCAAAUUGCAGAAGAAACACAUUUUGUUCCAAUGAAAAAUGUACGGAAACAUUUUAAAUAUGGAAAAUUACCUCAAAAUGAAGGCUCGCAAGAGAUUCGAGCAACAAAUUAGAUCAAAGGAACCGGCGCUGAGCAAGAAAGUGAGCUCAAAGAUUCCGAAACACAAACGUAAAUUCACAAAAAUGCAAAUCUAUGAUGAACGCCAAGAUCAAAAUUUUCGAAGAAAGGGAGCUGAAAAAAUAAAUGAAACGUCAAACUAGAUGACAAUGGAUUUGCUUCUUCAAAGGAGACAAUGAAAUUGUUACUAGAGACAGCUAGAGAAAUAGAGAGAGAGAGAGAGAGAGCUUGAAUUGGCUGUACCCCCACCAGAAAGUGGGUAGUGCCUUUUCCACUUGGACUUGAUAUGCGAAUCUGAAAAAAUCUGAACGAAGGACUGACUCAUCCCAGCUCGAAAGCAAACCAAGCUAGGACUGACUGAAAACGUUGCCGUUUGGAGAAGUUAAAAAAAAAAACUAAACAAAACGACGCCGUUUUGUUUAGUUUCGGGGUUUGACCCGGAAUUUGACCCGGGGCAAACAUCAUUUUCCAACAAAUUAUGCAUGGUCGUGUACACGCUUUCCCUAAUUAAGCAUGAGGUUCGUGAUCAAGGCACAACAUUCACUCCCUGCGACCCAACAAUCGCUACAUUGUUUGCCACCUAUAGUGCCAACGAUUUUGCACGGUCCAAUUAUGGUCCCCAAUCGAAAACGUUGCGCAAAUGUUUUCUGGGCAAGAUGAUAAGUAACGCAAGCCUUGAUGCUUGUUAUGGUCUAAGAAAACAAGAGGUUAAUAUAUAUAUAUAUAUAUAUAUAUAUAUAUAUAUAUAUAUAUAUAAAUUGGCAUUGUCAACUUUUGUAUGUUUUAUUCAGAACCCGCUGUGGGUUGACGCUAGCAUGCUUGCGUUAGGAGACGAGGGGACCAAUCUUGGGGCUGAGCUAAAAUAUAAGCUUGUAGAGAUCAUCUUGCUAAUGGUAAUGUUUUCCGAUGCUGGUUUAAUUCAUGGUAUAAAAAGGAGAACAAAAAAGAUUUUUCUAUGCUUUGAAAAUAUUAUAAUUUUUAUUUUAUAAUUUUUAAUAAAAUCUCUCAUUGAUAGCCAAACAAUUAAAAUUUUUGUAAAGCUUUUGUGGACUUUUGAUCGCGUAUGGUGCCAAUGUAUUGCGUGGUCCUAUUAUGGUUCCAAAUGGAGAAAGUUGCACAAGUUUUUUGAGUACCAGAAGAUCAGUAAUGUAAGCCUUGAUGGUUGUUAUGGUCUAAGAAAACAAGAGGCUAAAAAUUCUAUCUGGGAUUUUUAUAACAACAACAAAAUUGGCAAGCCCAUUGACAUUGGUGAAUUGUCAGUUUCAACCUUGGUAAGUGCGAUUCAGAACAUGCUGUGGGGUGAAACGCUUGAAAUAACAAAGAAAUGGAUUUACUAAUAUUGGGGCUGGGCUAAGAUUUAAGCUUGCAGAACUCACGGUGCUAGAGGGAACACCGAAUAUUUUGGAUAUCUUUCCAGUGCUUUCAUGGUUUAAUAUACAAGGUUUUCAGAGAAUAGCAAAGAAGAUUUCUCUAUGGUUUUAAAAUAUUAUCAAUUCUACUGCUGAACGCUAUAGAAACAACGUCUCUAUUGUCAAAAGUGAAGAAGCAGCAGCAGCAGGGAACAAUAUUGAAGGAAGGAAUAAGGACUUGGUGCAGUUACGCUUGGAGCUUCAAGGUAAAGAAGACAAUGCUUCAUCAAUUAGCAGGACGCAAUUUAAGAGCUUGCUCGUGGUAUGUUGCGCAACUAGCCACAGACAGUUACAGAAACUGAGUUUGGCAGAUUACGACCGUUUCUGGUGAUUACAUAAUUAUUUGUGGCUGUUUUUUUUUUUUAAUUGUAAUUUUCUUAACAGGAUAUAAUUUAGGGUGGAACCAACACCACAACUAUAAUGGUGGAAUGGACAAUGGCAUAAUUGAUACAGCAUCCACAAGUAAUAGAGAAUGUACAGGUAGAACUAAAUCGGGCCGUGGCCAUCGACAGCCAUGUUGAAGAAUUUCACCUAGCUAAGUUAAAAUAUUUAGAUGCUGUGGUGAAAGAAACAUUCUGCACUGUAAUAUAAUACAUGAAUCAUAUGUCCUCUAUUGUUUUUUUAUUUUUCUCUUUUUUUCAAUAGCUUAAUCUAUCAUUAAAAUCUUCUGAAAUUCUAAAUUAAUAUACAUUCAACCUAGAGUUCAAGCCAAAGUUUUAUUGAGCAUUAAAAAAAAAAAAAAUUCUACGACUCAAAAUUUUGUGGAGUAUAAAUUAAAAAUUAUGCGCCUACUAAGAGACAAAAAAUAAAUGAUACACAUUAACCAAUCAAAGGCGAACAAGAGAUUAUUAACAAUAACCUAAUAAUAAAAUUAUAAUGAAUAAAAAAGAAAUGGUACCUAGAAACACAUCACAGCCAUUUAAGCAAUCACUUACCCACAAAAUCCAAACAUAUAAACUAUGUGGGGGGGGGGGGGGGGGGGGGGGGUGUCAUGAUACCUUUGGGUUUCAUGAUAAUCAAAAUUGCAAUACCAUUAAAGACUCAAAAAUAAAAAAAAUCAUAGCCAAUAAAAGAGAAAAAAUAACCCACAAAAAAUCAUCAAGAAAAUAAAUUUGAGACUAAGAGAAGAUAUUAAUUAAACCCUGGGUUGCCUUGGAACCACGGCUUUGGCUUCCAUUUUUCAAUUCUUGGCGACAAGUCAUUUCUUGUUUGUUUACAAAGAUGACGGCUGAUUAAUGAAGCUCUAUUAACAAUGAAUAAAUAAAAAAACUGGCGCCUUGAAAAGACUAACGGUCAUAUUUUUCAACUCCGAAUUAGUGCCGUUUGAUGAGUCCUUGCCAAAACAAUCACUAGGCAAAUAACAAUCAUUUUUCAACCAGCAAAACUCAUUCAUUGUAUUUCACCUUAGUCAAGAUUUAAAAAUUGUUUCAAAAUAAACCUAGUGGUUAGAACCCAAGCGUCACAAUUGUGAGGUCAUGGGUUUGAGCCCCCACAACGUAUUGUGGGGGUUAAUUUUCUUCUUCAAUUUGAGUGAAAACAGUUCUCUCCCUUUCGAAAUGUGGGUGGAGUGGACGUCCCUCAAAUAUUAGAGAGGGUUCAAAUUUGGAUUGUACUAUAUAAGAUUUAUAAAUUAGUCCCAGUAAUUAUCUGAUUGUAAAUAUCAAUAUACUAAUCUAAUUAAAUAUGAGUUGUAAUAUGAGCGUUAGUCUCAUGUAAUUAAAAAAAAAAUGUUUCAAAAUAGGAUUCUUAAAAGGUUGGGGAAAUGGCCAUCAAUAUCCCCAACUUUCCAAAAAGAGACACCAAGACCCAUUUUGACCAUAAUACCCUUUACUUCUAUUAUCCCCAAAAAAUUGACUCUAAUGUUUUAUAAUAAAUAAAAAUAUAACAUUAAAAUAAAUGUAAUAGUAUAUACAUUUUAAAAUAGUUUCAAUAUCUAAAAACCAUUUUAAUAUUUUAAAUCCUAUUAUAUAUAUAUUAAAGUAAAUUUUAUAAUAAAUAGAAUCAUAAUAUUGAAAUAAAUGCAUUAAAAUUUAAAUUAUUUUUAAUAUUAUGUAAAAUAAUAAUUUUAUCAUUAUAAGUAUAUGAGAAUUUUUUUAAUUGUAGAAUGUAUUUAAUGCAAAUAUUUAUUUAAAAUCUCUACAAUAAAUAAAAAUAUACUAUUAAAACAAAUCUCUACAAUAUAUACAUACAUACAUAUACAUUGGCCUGGUAUUUUAUUUUUCAUUUUUUAAACUUAUUAAAUCCUCUAACUAUCAUUUGAUUAUUUUUUUCAAUGAUGAAGAGGCCAUUGCCGGAUAAAUUAUUAAAAUCAACUAGUUCUACAAGAAUGUCCCUUUUUAAAGGAAGAUGAUUCUCUCUCUCGAAAUUUUUUAUCUUGUGCUACAAACUAAAAACUUAUGCCAUUUCAUUAACCACAGAGAUCUUUGAGGAAAUGAUGCUUCGCCCCCCCCCCCCCCCCCCCCCCCCCCCCCCCCCCCCCGCGGCGCCAAAAAGUGUCCUUCCAUAUUUUGUGAAGGCUAAUACAUCGAUGAAUCUAGAUUUCUUUAAAUUUUUUGUUUUACUCAAUUCGAGAUAAUAAAUAGUUUAUCUUUAUUAAAUCUUUACUUUAACAAUGAUAGAUAUUCAAUCCAUGCAAAUAUCUAUCAUUGUAUGAGCUGAUUGCGUGGAGGGAGCGGUAAUUGAAAUCUAAUUGAAAACAGCAGAAGGCUGUUCUUGACAGAUCUCAAAUAUAUUACGGACACGUUGGGAGACAUCUCUAUCAUAGAUAUCCCCAUGCAGUGAUAUUUGUCGUGAUCUAAUUUUUAGUAAAUCUGUAAGAGAGAUUGUAACAUCUUUCAAGUUUUUUGGUUUGAUAUUCUAGACGAAAACGGUUUGUCGUUUCUUGAGCAAACGGCUAACCGUUUAAGUCCAGAGAGCAUGUUUGUUGUUCUGGAUAAAACGGCUCACCGUUGUUGCGAAAACGGCUAACCGUUUAACUCAAGAGAGCAUGUUUUAUGUUCUAGAGAAAACGGCUCACCGUUAUUGAGAAAACGGCUAACCGUUUAUUUACAGAGAGCAACGUAUUUGAUAUUCUGGAAUAAAAUGGCUCACCAUUUAUUGAGAAAACGGCUAACUGUUUAUUUCCAGAAAGGCGUCAAUUAGAAAAACGGUUAGCAAGAAUGAAAAUUUCAAUUGACAAUCGAUGCAAAUUCAAACCAAAAGAGUGUCUUCGAAAAAGUACCAUUUCUAAUGGUUGUAUUCUUUCAAAUAAACAUCUUCUUCAUUAAAGAAAUACACACAAUUAGAUUGAUAAUCAGAUUUUGACAGGUUUCUUAUAUGUUCUGGAAAUACAAUCUUAUUUGCUAGAGAUUGUAUUCAGGAUUUGUUAUAUCUUGGGGGUAAUUUGCCAUUAAAACUAUAUAGCAAACCAAGAUUGGUGAGGGCAAAUAAAACCUUAAAGGAAAGUAUGCAAACACGUCUCAAAUCCUAUGAAACUUUCUUUGUUCUUUGCCUCCAUAUUCUUAUUAUUCACUAACAAAAUCCCCAUGCAGUGAUAUUUGUCGUGAUCUAAUUAUUAGAAAAAUCUAUGAUUUCGCUACUGUAAUAAAAUUUGUCACUACUCUACAUUAAUCUAAAUGUCUGAUGAGAUUUGUAAUUGCUUCCGACGGGAAAACAGUUAAUAGGUUGAUUGAAUGUAUGUGGUAAAGAUUCCACGUAUCUCACGACAGAAUGCUGACCACUGGAACCCUAUCUACUUUUACGCGAUUAAUUCACGAGCUUAGGCACGACAAUUGCAAUACAAAUUAUCCCUUCAUCAUAUAUUUCGUUAAAAUUCAUUCUGAAGCACUAAAACUAAACAAUCGAAUAUGGCUUUGAGGGUCGAUGAUGCCAGCAGCAAUGAGAGUGCAAUUAUCACUUGUUUAGUUUCUGUGCUUGCCGUGGCUUAUUUAGCAUGGAAUGUGAAAAAAUCAAGGAAAGCAAAUGCUAAACUGCCACCAGGACCUCGCGGCUUGCCUGUAGUCGGAUACCUCCCAUUUCUCGGGACUACUGACUUGCACAAGAAAUUCACGGAAUUUAUUUUACUAUUAUAUUUAUAUUCAAAAUAAUUUUAAUUAGCUUUUAAAAUGAAUGAUUUUAGGAAAUUAUAAAUAAAGGUAACUAAGAAUUCUCUUAAUGUAAUAUAUUAUUAAUUAGUUUAAAAAUACAAAUUUAUUAAUUAGAGAAAUUAUUAGUGAAUUUAAAUUAAUGAUCUUAAUGAUUUGUUUGUACGAUUGCCCCCAAUCAAAGGUAAUUUUCCUAAAAAUUAUUAGGAAAUUAGAGAAAUUUAAUUUUUUUAGUGGGUUCAAUUGCCCACACACCCCGACUGAAGCAUUUUUUACAAUAUGUACUCCGUUUGUCGGCAGGAAAAUAAAGGUCUUGACACAUGAUCACUUCACUCCUUUAUUUACUUUGCUAACGCAGAUUUUGAGGUAUUAAAACAAAUAAUAAUUGAAUAUGACUUUGUGGGUCGACGACGCCAGCAACGAGGAGACCGCCAAUUAUCACAUUUUAAGUUUGCUGUAAUUGCCGUUGUUUUAUAUUAGUAGAAUAUUAGUGAUAAGAUAAUUGUAGAGUUUUCAUUUUUUUAAUAUUAAAAUCAAGUCAAUUUAUUAUAAUAAAUUUAGUUGAAUUUAAUCGUAUUACCACAUAAAUUGAAUAAUAAUAGAAUUCUCGACAAUAUUUCAAUAUUUUAAUCUCAAGCAUUGGAGUGGCAUUUAUUUGUUAUACGGUCGAUUUUAGAAUUUAUAAAAUUAUUCGUUGCUGAAUUGCACCAUAUGCUGCAUAACCUGAAACUUAAUAAACGGAACGUAGCGUUGGCACCGUUACUCAACAUUCACUGUUACGACUUUGUGACAUUAGAAUUAAAAUCUUUUCCACAUUUAAUUUGUUUACUUCCAACUUAAUAUUUAACAAAAUGUAUGUUAGCAUUGUAUGCCAUAUCAUCUGUAAUUUUGUCAGGAUCGAUCAUUCUAAUUUUUAAGCAGAACUUUUUGUCAAUGGACAAACACCUCAUACAGCUUGUCAGAGGCAUUAGUAUGAUGUAAAAUUGUAAUGGUAUAUCUUGAAUUAUUUUAGAAUAGUGAAUAACUAUUUGGAGCAAUAAAAACAAAUAAGACAGAUGAGAAAAUGGCUAAAAUUAUAUAAGUGACCCAAAAUUUUUUGCUAUUUCCAAGAAAUCCCCAAUCUGAAUGGACCAGAGGGAGGCAAGUUAGAAAUACAUUUCCUUCAUAGACAAUAACAACGAUGAGUGGAUGACAUCAAACCACGUUGGUAUCAAUAUUGAAAUAAAGGUGCAAUUAUUCAGCCAAUGAGCCUUAGUACACAUCAAGAUAUAUAAAAGUCAAGAAAAUGAAAAUUUAUCCCAAUUAAAACUCUUUCUGGCUGCAUUUAGCUGUUUCUGUUUAGGGAUGGCAAUUUAAUCCGGACCCAGCCCGACCCGGAUGAAUCCAGAAAAUUCGGGGUGGAUUCAACCCGUACCGGAGUGAAUAAAAUCUGAUAUUCAAAUUCAAUAUUUUCAACCCGGACGUUUCCGAGUCCGGAUCCGGAUUUGGGUAAACCCGCAUAUCCGGAACCCGGAUCCGGAUAACUAUUUUAAUAUUAAUUUUUAAAUCAUUUUAAAAUAAAAAAAAAUUAGAAAAAAUCAGCCCUAAUGCCCUUCCACAGCCACGGCAGCCAAACCAAACCCAGACAUUUCCUCUCUCUCUCUUUAGCCCUUCUUUUCAACAAAUCAUCAUCGUUGCUCAUCAUCGUUUCGUCGUGUUCAUCUUCAUCUUCAUCAUCAGCUGCCGUUUGUCCAGCUAUGUCACUAGUUUUGGCCGCCGUUUCCGUUUGUGCACCUUCGCAAAUCGGGAUCUCGAUUUGGCCGCCAACACUUCUACCCCCUGGUGUUUUGCUUUGUCCUCGACAACUUCUUUGUUGAUAAAUUGACGGGCACUUAUGAAUGCAUUUGUCUCUGUUUCUUCAUUUACACCUUCCCAGUUGUUUGUUCAUUUGCUUUUUGGAAGGAAAAAAAAAAAAAAUCAGCCACCAUUUAUCCUUCCCCUUUUCUUGACCUAACCCCACAAAGCCCAAUUUGUCAUCAUCAUUCAUUGGCAAAUUUGUUAUCAUCAUGGUUGAGACAUCAUGAUUAUCUUUGAUAAUUGAAUUUGUGUAAUAUGUUACCUUGGAUUUUAUUUCUAAGUAUUUGAUUUUGAAUUAUUUUCCAUUAUUGGUGUUAAUAGAUAGAAGAUUAGAAAGGAAUUCUUCACUGAAUAAAGAGAUGGGAAAUUGCAUCUUUUAGCAAUCAUCCGGGUUAUAAACCCGGAAUCCGGAAACCAGGAUUUUUCCGGGUUUAACCCAGUCCGGACCCGAAUGAAAAAUAUCCGGGUUUACAUCCGGGUCUGGUAUUAAAAUUUAUCGUCCGGAUCCGGAACAGGGAAGACAAAACCCGGACCCGAACCCACAUUUUGCCAUCCCUAUUUCCAUUUGAAGUUAACAACAACGUUUCUUUCGUUUUGUGGGCGACUUGACUGAGCCAGCUGGAUUCUAGUGCUAGUAUGUGAAAAUAGAAGGCUAAUGAUUUCACGUUCACUAGCCCACCUCCCCUCCUCUCGUUUCCUCUGAAUCAAUUUUCACGUGUGGUACCGAUUGAAAAUAUCUCUGACAUUUCGUGGACAUCUCUAUUGAAAAUAUCUCAGACAUUUCACUCAGGCAAACUUAUUAAUAUAAAAAAUCUAUGAUUUUUUCGUCUUAUACUGUAGAAAAAUUUGUCUAUACAUUAAUCUAGAUGUUUGAGGUGGUUUAUACAUCUGUGGUAUAGAUUUAUAGGUUGAUUGAUACGUCUGUGGUAUAGAUUUUAUGUAUUUCAUUAUCAAAUGCUGGCCUUUGGGACCCUAUCUACAUCUAUUUAUAAAACUAACGGGUGCCAGUUAUGCCAUUACAAAUUAUCCCCUCUUCAUACAUUUCCUUAAAAUUCUUCUGAAACACCAAAACUAAAUAAUCGAAUAUGGCUUUGCGGGUCGAUGAUGCCAGCAACAAUGAGGCUGCAAUUAUCACUUGUUUAGUUUCUAUGCUUGCCGUGGUUUAUUUCGUAUGGAAUGUGAACAAAUCAAGGAAAGCAAAUGCUAAACUGCCACCAGGACCUCGCGGUUUGCCUGUAGUCGGAUACCUCCCAUUUCUCGGAACUACUGACUUGCACAAGAAAUUCACGGAAUUAUCCGGAGUUUAUGGUCCGAUCUUCAAGCUCUGGCUCGGAAAUAAAUUAAGUGUCGUGGUGAGCUCACCUUCCCUAGUUAAACAAGUGGUUCGUGAUCAAGAUACAACAUUCGCAGACCGUGACCCGCCGAUCUCAGGACUAGUGACCUCCUUUGGUGGCAAUGAUAUUACAUGGUCCAAUUACGGUCCCGAAUGGAGAAAGUUGCGCAAAUUUUUUGUGGGCAAGAUGAUGAGUAACGCAAGCCUUGAUGCUUGUUAUGCUUUAAGAAAACAUGAGGUUAAAAAUACUAUCAGGGAUUUGUAUAACAACGGCAACAAAAUUGGUAAGCCCAUUGACAUUGGUGAAUUGUCGAUUUCAACAUUGGUAUGUGCUAUGCAGAACAUGCUGUGGGGUGAAGCGCUUGAAUUAAAAGAGAAAGGGACAACUAAUCUUGGGGUUGAGCUAAAAUUUAAGUUUGCAGAACUCAUGGUGCUACUGGGAACACCGAAUAUUUCGGAUAUCUUUCCAAUGCUUUCUUGGCUCGACAUACAAGGUAUAGAGAGGAGAGCAAAGAAGAUUUCACUCUGGUUUGAAAAAAUUAUAAAUUCUACUGUUGAAAAGUAUAGAAGCAAGGACUUUAAUGUUGAAGGUAAAGAAAGAGCAGGGGAAAAUUUUGAAGGAUCAAGGAACAAGAACUUCUUGCAGUUACUAUUGGAGCUUCAAGAAAAUGAAGACGGUUCUUCCUCAAUUAGCAUGAACCAAUUUAAGGCCGUACUCGUGGUAUGUUAAGAAACUAGCCGCAAACAGUUAUACAAGCACAGCUGUAUAUUUUGCAUGAGUGAUAUUUUCAACCUUUUUUUUUUAUAAUUAGAAUUUUAUUGUAACCUUUUGGACAGGAUAUAAUUACGGCUGGAACCGACACCACAACUACGAUGGUGGAAUGGACAAUGGCAGAGUUGAUGCAGCAUCCACAAAUAAUGAAGAAAGUUCAGGAAGAAUUAGCUCAAGUUGUGGGCAUGGACAGUUGUGUUGAAGAAUUUCAUUUGCCUAAAUUGAAAUAUUUAGAUGCUGUGGUGAAAGAAUCGUCUCGUCUGCAUCCUGCAGUGCCUUUAUUACUACCACGCAGAGCAAGCGAGAGUGGCAGCAUUGGUGGCUAUAACAUUCCCAAAGAUACAACUAUUAUGUUGAAUGUUUGGGCAAUCCACAGGGACCCUAAACUUUGGGAUAAUCCCUUAGAAUUUCGACCCGAGAGGUUUCUAGAUGAUGGUAUCGCGAGUAAGUUCGAUUACUCAGGUAACAAUUUUCAGUACUUGCCAUUUGGUUCUGGUAGAAGGAUGUGUGCUGGGAUUCCUCUAGCUGAGAGGAUGCUGAUGUUUGUUUUGGCUUCGUUAUUGCACUCAUUUGAGUGGGAAUUGCCAGCUGGCACAAAGCUAAACUUAUCUGAAAAAUUUGGGAUUGUCAUUAAGAAAAAAGAGCCUUUAGUUGCUAUUCCAACACCAAGACUAUCCAAUUCAGAGCUCUACCAUUAAGACAGAAUGGUUGUGAUGAUUUUGUUAAUUUCCGAAGAUUUGUAUGUUAUGUCAAGUUCAAUCGUAAUAAAAUAUUUCAAAUAAGAGUCCUCCGUUGCUUUUUUUUUUUUUUUCAACCGCAUAAUCUGUCGUCAUGCUUGUAUUUGGGGCUACUUUGGAAUAAUUAUGUUUGAAUUACAAUAUAUAAAUAUUACAUUUUAAAAUUUUAUGAGAUUCUAAAUUUAUACACGUUCAAUAACCCACUUCAUAUAUGUUUAACACAAUUUAUAUCAUACAUUGUAUACCCAUUUGUCAUAAAUUACGCUAUUUUAUAUCUCUAAAUAAUAUUACAUAUUGAUAUUAUAAAAUGUUGUUAACUCACGUGUGUAUAUAUAUAUAGCAAGUCACGUGCAUAUAUUAUUGGUUGUUAUAUGUUUGCUAGUUUGAUAGGAUUUCCUUUCCUUGUGAACUAGGGUAAUUCUUAUGUACAUAUAAAUAUUGAUCAAUAAGAGUGCAGAUGAUGACUGCAGUUUUGCAUCGUAGAAAUUCUUCGUAAAAUAUAUAUGUUUAUCAAAAGGCUAUACCAUUCAAUAUAUAUUGGAAAGAGAACAAAGAAGAUCUUCUUAUGGUUUGAAAAUAUUAUGAAUUCUGCUGUUGAACAGUAUGGAAACAAGGUCUGUUGUUAAAGGUGAAGAAGUCACAGGGAACAAUAUUGAAGGAAGAAAUUUCACGUUUAGUUGCUGAAUUUGCCGCUGUAUUCUAUCGGUAGUAAAAAGAUUAGAGUUUUUAUUUUUCUCUAUUAAUGUUAAGUCAAUUUUCUAUAACAAAUUCGGUUGAGUUUAAUUGUGUUACAAUAUAAAUUGAAUGAUAGUAGAAUUUUCAACGAAUAAUUCAAUAUUUCUAUCUCGAUUGUUGAAGUGCCAUUUAUUUGUUAUACGAUCGAUUUUAAAAUUUAUAAAAUUAUUUGUUACUAAAUUGCAUCAUAUGCUAAAUCACCUGAAACCUAAUUUCAUAACUAACCCUUUAUUUUUAGUUCUCAAGAAAUCUUGUAAGAACAAAAUUCUUUUGUAACAAAACGUUUACAACAAAUUAAUUUGUAACUCAUUCCUGUGCGAGAAUCACUCUCAAUUUCCUUCAAUUGCUGUUUAACAAUCAUCUGCUUAUCAAAAUUCAAGCAUAAUCUUUUUUUUUAAUUUCUUCAUCAUUCUUUUGAAAAAAAAAAUCAGGAUAUGCUGUUAAAUUUUGAAAUAAAUUAUCUCAAAAUAAUUACUAACCAGAAAAAACAAAGGGGUUUAACUAGGUUAUGCAUACCUUUGAAAAUUAUAUGUUGAUCGAUAAGAAUGAUGAUCACGAUUGACGAGUUUAAUUAAAAUAUAUAAGAUUUUAAAAUUAAUCAGGGUUAAAUUGUGAAUUUUAGAAAGAGAGGUUUUGUGAGAAUGUUGAAAGGGUGUUAAUAGUUCCACUCUUUUUAAAAACAACCAUAGUCAUCAUUUUUCCAUGGUUGUUUUUAAAAAGAGUAUUUCUUCUUCCCAUCUCCAUCUUAUUUAGAAAUUUCCCAGAGCCUUUGUUUCCCACCUUUCAUUUUUCUUCUUUCUAAUUUAAUAAUCCACCCUUCUUGUAUUCAAACUAAAAAAUUAAAAUCUGAAAAUUUAAAACCCAAUAUUAUAGUAUUAUAAAAAUAAUUACUCACAUUUUAUCAAACACCUCCAUUCUUCCAAGGCCUUGUUUUAGUAGUAGGCUUUUAUUAUCUCAAUAAAAUUGAAAAAAAAAAUCUCAAUAAUAUUGGAAAAAAACCCUACCCAUAUUUGUAACUUUAAUUUAUUAUUCUCCAUAGACCUACUUUUUAGUUUUGAAUUUUGUUGGAGCCAUAUAUAAACAGAAUAUGUUGAAAUCAGCACCCAAAAAAAAAAAAACUAAUUAUAUAAUUUAUGUUCCCAAGGACAUGGCUGAGUGAUUUUCAAGAAGUUUUGUUUGGCUGGCCACUUAGGUUUAAAUCUUGGUGGAGAUUAAGGGUUAAGAAAUAAAUUUAGACUUUGCACACCCCUUUAACUUUUAAAAAGAAAUGAAAAAAUUAAUUAAUUAAUCUUUAUUUUAUUUAUUAAAUGUCAUAAUCCUAUGCGUAUUUUAUUUGUUAUCUUUCUAUUUAAAAGACGAGGGCAGAUAAAACUGAAAUAAAUUUUUAGCCCUAUCUCCAUAUUUCAAGUUCCAUAGUUAGGUGACCAGCUAAAAAAAAUUAAUUGAAAGCUACUCCAUCAAAUUAAAAAAAUUUAUUUAUUUAAUUUGUGGAGAUGUAGAAAAUCAAACCCCAUACCUUUUCGCAUACACUGAACAUAUUUUAAUACAUGACUAUCAUCCUUUAUCCUAAAUACUACUAUAACUAAUAACAUACAAUUGAAAUAAUUAAUGUUAACACUUGGCUAUAAAUAAAGGUUUUGUGCUUGAAUCUUCACGCAUGACCUUCAUUCCUUUAUUGACUUUGCUAACACAGAUUUUGAGGCAUUAAAACUAAAUAAUAAUUGACUUUGUGGGCCGAGGAUGCCAGCAACAAGGAGACCACAAUUAUCACUUAAGUUACUCUAAUUGCCGUUGUCUUAUAUUCAUAGAAUAUUAGUAAUAAGAUUAUUGCAGAAUUUUUUUAAUAUUAAAAUUAAGUCAAUUUGUUAUAACAAAUUUAGUUGAGUUUAAUCGUGUUACUACAUAAAUUGAAUAAUAAUAGAAUUCUCGACAAAUAUUUCAAUAUUUUUAUCCCAAGCGUUGGAGUGGCAUUUAUUUGUUAUACGAUCGAUUUUAGAACUUAUAAAAUUAUUCGUUACUGAAUUGCACCAUAUGCUGCAUGACCUGAAACUUAAUAAACGGAAUGUAGCGUUGGCACCGUUACUCAACAUACUGUUACGACUUUGUGACAUUAGAAUUAAAAUCUUUUGCACAUUUAAUUUGUUUACUUCAAAAUUAAUAUUUAACAAAAUAUUUUUUUCACAUUAUCAAUGGACAAAACUCCAACGAAAAUAACUACACAAGAAAAAUGUAUGCUAGUAUUGUGUGCCAUAUCAUCUGUAAUUUUGUCAGGAUCGAACACUCUAAUUUUUAAGCAGAACUUUUUAUCAAUGGACAAACACCUCACACAGCUUGUCAGAGGCAUUAUUAUGAUAGAAAACUGUAAUGGUAUAUCUUGAAUUAUUGGUAGAAUAGUUCUUUGGAGCAAUAAAAAUAGAUAAGACAGAUGAGAAAAUUGUCAAUACCCCACCGCAAAAGCAAAAGAAAAAAAGGAAAGGAGACAAAAGAGGAAGAAGAAAAAAAGGAAAGGAGACAAAAGAGGAAGAAGAAAAAGAAAAAAGAACGAAGAAAAAAAUGGUGCCGCGCUGUAUUGGGAAGAAGAAAAAAAUUAAUAAAAUAAUAAUAAAUAAUAAAUAAUAAAUAAUAAAAUAAUAGUGCACAACAAUCAUUUGAUUGCUAUAAAUAAAGGGGCAUUUUCCUCAUUUUAUUCAUCGAAUUCUUCAGUUCCUUUCAAGCGAUUUAAGAGUCUAGUGAUUUGAGAGUUUGGGAGUAUUGUGAUUUUGAGUACUAAGUUAAAAUACUAUAAUACUUGUAACUCAUUUUCACUAGUAAAAUAUUUUUCUUCUGUCUUCGCCCGUAGACGUAGGCUAAAAGCUGAACCACGUAAUUUCUGGUGUCCCUAUGUGAUUAUGUGUCUCAUUAUUUCUCAAUUUUACUUUAGUUACGUGUCUGCUACACCCUUCAAUUUACUAACAAAAAUGGCCAAAAUUAUAUAAGUGACCCAAAUUUUUUUGCUAUUUCCAAGAAAUCCCCAAUCGGAAUAGACCAAACUAGAGGGAGGCAAGUUAGAAAUACGUUUCCUUCAUAAACAAUAACAGCGAUGAGUCGAUGACAUCGAGCCACGUCGGUAUCAAUAUUGAAUUAAAGGUGCAAUUAUUCAGCCAAUGAGCCUUACACAUCAAGAUAAAAGUCAAGAAAAUGAAAAAUUUAUCCUAAUUAAAACACUUUCUGGCUGCAUUUAGCUGUUUCUAUUUGAAGUUAAAAACAACAUUUCUUUCGUUUUGUGGGCAACUCGACUGAGUUCGCUGGCUUCUAGUGCUAGUAUGUGAAAAUAGAAGGCUAAUGAUUUAUUUGUUAUCUUUUGACAAAAAAUGUUAAAGAUAUAAUAGAUUUUCCAUGAUACAAAUGAAAAAUUAUAUCAACAUAACUUCCAAGCUACAGCAGCUAGUGUUUACCAAACACUUUGCUGUAGCUUUUAAGCUACAGCUGCCCAACCUCAAUAGGUUGAUUGAAUUUGUGGGAUAUAGAUUCCACAUAUCUCAUGACCUAUUAAUUAUACAAGUGGUUCUUGAUCAAGAACAACAUUUGCUUCCGACCCAGUAACCCAGCAACUGCUGCACUGGUCGCCACCUAUGGUGCCGACGAUAUUGCAUGGUCCAAUUAUGGCCUUGAAUGGAAAAAGUUGAGCAAAUUAUUUGUGGGCACGAUGAUAAGUAACGCAAGCCUUGAUGCUAGUUAUGGUCGAAGAAAACAAGAGGUUAAGAAUACUAUCAGAGAUAUGCAUAACAACAAAAAGGAAAAAAAAAAAAAAAGGCAUUGGCAAGUCAAUUGAUAUUGCUGAAUUGUCGAUUUCAACUUUGGCAUGUGUAAUUCAGACAUUGCGCGUUGUGGUAUGGCGCUGGCACGCUUGCAUUGCCGAGAGGACAAAUCUUGGGGCUGGGCUAAAAUUUAGGCUUGUAGAACUCAUGGUGCUAAUGGGAACGCCAAAUUUUUUUAACAUAUUUCGGUGCUUUCAUGGUUUAAUUCAAGGUAUAGAAAGGAGUGUUGAGAAUGUCAAAUAAAACGACAUUGAAUGGAAGUUGUCAAAGACAUGAUCCGCACUGAACGGCAAUGACACGGUUGGUAAAGAUUUUUUCAUAAUAUGCGUAUCUAAUUUUUGAAAAAUUGUAACCUCUGCUUCUAUAAAUAUGCUCAAUGUAUAAUGUUUUACUUAAGAAAUGAAAAACUUAAUUCUUUAUGGUAUCAGAGCGAGGCUCGUUGCUCUGUUUGUAACAAAAACAAAGAAAACUAAAUUCUUCCCACAACUAUUUUUCCACCUUUUUUUCUUCCUUAAAAGCAUUCCUAGCAUUACAGAAACCCAUGCCAAUAAAAGAACAAGCCACACAUAUGUAAAAACUUUAGUUUACAAAUCUAUCAACAUCCCCAUAAAUUUUCCCAAAAAGUGAUCUUCAAAAACCAAAAAUACCAUCAAUUUUCGCAUCUUCUAGUAAACAAACUAUAAAAGUUUCGCACUCAAACAGAGCCACACGCGCCUCCACGCGCUUCCCGGAAUCACGGCCAACCACCACGCGCCUCUGUCACCACCAACUCACCCUCAUGCGCUCCAGAUGUUGCAGAAGACGCAAAACGACGUGUCGUUUUCUUCUCUAAAAGUGCAGCAACGUGGAAAUGACUUUUUGUUUUUGCCUUAAAUUGUUUUUCCUCGUUUGAAGCUAUACAACAUUUUUCUUUCUAAACCUGUUUUUUACAAUAAAAAAAGAAAAAAAUGGAGAAAACUCCAACUGAAUCUACUCAUGUUGUCAUUCAAUCUGUUCAACCUGAUGGAGUAUUUAAUGCCGAAAUUAUCCUUACUAAGACAAACUACGAUAUUUGAUCUCAAAUAAUGGAGAUGCAUCUCGCAGAAAGAAAAAAACUCCCAUAUAUUCGUAGCAGCAUAAAUCCAUCUGACAAAUUUUCAAAGAAAUAUGAGAAAUGGUAUAGUGAGAACCAAAAAGUAAAAAGAUGGUUACUCAUAACCAUGUGUCCUGAGAUCAUGAAGCGAUAGUUACAAAUUCCUACAGCCUACGAAAUUUAGAAUGCAUUAUCAAAAGCCUUUUAUAAUGGAAGCGAUGAAAUACAAGUUUUCACUCUAAAUCAGAAGGCGUUCUCUACGAAGCAAAAUGGACAACCACUCUCUAAAUUCUACGGAGAAUUGAUCAAAAUGUUUCAAGAACUUAAUCACCGAGAUAAAGUGGUCAUGAAGGAUCCAGAAGAUGUUAUAAUAUAUAGGAAGUUUGUUGGAAGAUUGAGAGUGCACAUUUUUCUUGCUGGACUAGAUGAAGAAUUUGACCAAGUUUGUGGAGAAAUUCUACGAAAAGAUACUAUCCUAGACUUAAAAGAAUGUUAUUCUCUAAUCCGAAAAGAAGAUGUACGGCAAAGCAAACUAACAAGAAGGUGGACGACUCAGAAACGUCUGCUAUGAUACCACAAGAGAACAAUGUUUUGAAAUUGUUCGAUAUCCUGACUGGUGGGAUACUCGAAGUAAUAACACAAAGCAGAGAUAAAAAACUGCAGUAGCUGAAUCCACAUCCACUACAGAUCUUAGAAAAGAAUCUUCAGCGCAAAUUGCAACCUCUGUCAAUUCAGGUAAGGUCAUUAAAACUCUUACAUUUGUUAUUAAUAGUAUAUGGAUAAUUGAUUAUGGUGCAACUGAUCAUAUGACUUUUGAUUCUUGACAAGUUUCUUAAUUGAAACCAUCUUCACAUAAACAUGUUUCUACUGUAAAUAGAACCACAACCUCAGUUAUUGGGGAAGGAUCUUUACAACUCACAAUUAAAUCAAAUUUAGACUUUGUGUUAAUUGUUCCAUCUUUAAAUUAUAAUCUUUUAUAUGUGUCUCAAAUAACCUCUUACUUAUCAUGUGUUGUAAUGUUUUGGCCCGAUCAUUGCAUGUUUAAGGACAUCCAAAUGAAGGAAACGAUUGGUUAUGAUAUUAAAUAAGGCAACUUGUAUUACCUGGAGAUGACAUCAACAAACACUGAAAAGCUAAGCCCCGCAUUAGUAGCAGACAAUUCCAUGAAAAAAAAGGAAAUAAGAAAUUUGGUUAUGGCAUAGACGAUUAGGGCAUGUGUCAUUUGAUUUCUUAAAAAAAUUGUUUCCUAGUUUGUUUCUGAAAUUUGAUAUUUGUAACUUUAAAUAUGAUGUUUGUGAACUUUCAAAUAGCCAUCGAACUACUUUUCCAUUGUCCUUAAAUAAGAAUCCAAUUCCUUUAAUGGUAGUACAUUCUGAUGUAUAGAGACCAUCUAAAGUUUCUACCAUUGGAAGAGCUCGUUGGUUUGUUACAUUUAUUGAUGAUUGUAGCAGAAUGACAUGGAUUUUUUUAUGAAAUUAAAAUCAUAUGAUGGUGACAACUCUAUUUCAGACACAAAUUUGAGUUCUACAUACUGAUAAUGGAGGCGAGUAUAUGAGCACAACAAUUCAACAGUUUUUGAAAUCACAAUGAACUCACCACCAAACCACUUGUGUGGGGACACUCCAACAAAAUGGCGUUGCUAAACAAAAAAAUAGACAUUUACUAGAAGUUGUUCAAGCAUCACUAAUUUAGGCCCGCAUGCCACUAUUUUAUUGGGGAGAAGCAUUGGCAUCCGUAGCAUACUUGAUCAAUCGGACACCUUCAAUCUUCCUUGGAUUCCAAACUUAUUUUCUAGUUCUAAAUGAAGAAUUAUGUCAUCAAAUGUGUCGAAUUUACCCCCACAUAUGUUUGGUUGUGUUGCCUUCGUUCAUUUGCCAUGACAAGAUAAAUUAUCUCCUCGAGCACUACGUUGUGUGUUUGUAGGGUAUGCCUUACAUCAAAAGGGGUACCGAUGCUAUCAUCCUCUAUUAAGAAAAAAUAUACAUCACCAUGGACAUAAUCUUUCAUGAAGAUAUCAUGUAGUACCCAUCGGAGCUUGAAUUUCAGAGGGAGUAUAAUGAAGAGGAAAUUCAUACUCUUACAUAUCUUUCACCUGAAGAAGAUCAAUCCUCCAUUGAGGUAGUAAACGUUCAAGAUACUGGAAAAGAAAACGACAAUGAUUCUCAGGCUGAGACAAGUGAAGACACAUUUAGGGAGCAAAAUAACUCAGACAUAACCACAAUCGAGAACGAGUCCAUGAAGAGCCACAUGAAGAAAUAUCUAACCAAUCAUCUGCAGAGGAUGAUCCUACCACAAAUCCCAGUCUAAUCAGAAGAAUACUUCCCCAGCAUCAAAAUAGAGGUAUCUCUAAACCCACAUAUAAGACUGACCUCUCUAGUAGAGUCAAAUACCCUAUGAGUCAUUUUGUAUCUAACCAUGGCUUAUCAAAAUCAAAUCAGUCAUUUGUGAAUCAAUUAUCUACUGUGUCUAUUCCUAACAGUGUGCAAUAAGCCUUAAAAUAUCGAAAGUGGAAAGGGCUAUGAAUGACGAAAUGAGAUCUCUUUAAAAAAAAUCAAACAUGGGAACUAAUUGAUCUUCCACCAGGAAAGAAACCAGUGGGUUGCCGAUGGAACUAGUUGAUCAUCCACCUCCAUUCUGACAAGCAAUGUUUAUCAGCAAUAACAAAUGACUGAAGCAUUUUAAUGAGGUUAGUAACGAAAAAGAGUUUAAUUAGAGAAUAUUAUAAGAGAAAUUCUAAUUUUUGAUUUUUAAUAAAUUAAAAUAUCUUAAAAUAUUAUUAGUUGGUGGUGGUUUCAUGUCAGAUUAAGACGUGACACCUUACUAAUGAGGUCGAGACAAUUAGCUUAAAUUAUUUCAAUGCAUUUGAAAUUUCCACUAAUGACUAUAAUUCUUUGUCCUAAUUACUAUGAUAAUUAAUAACAUACAAUUGAAAUAGUUAAUAUUAGCACUUGGCAAUAAAUAAUUAAAUUUCAUUAACACUAAAUAAUAAUUGAAUAUGGCUUUGUACAUCGAUGACGCCAGCAACAAGGGGACCGCGAUUAUCACUCUUUAAGUUGCUUUUAAAAUUGAUUUUAGUAGUGAUAUGAUUAUUGUAGUGUUUUUAUUUUUUAUAUUAAAAUUAAGUGAUUUGUUAUAAUAAACUUAGUUGAGUUUAAUGGUAUUACUACAUAAAUUGAAUAGUUAUCAAAUAUUUUAAUAUUUUUAUGGCAAGCGUUGACGUGGCAUUUAUUUGUUGUAUGAUGGAUUUUAAAAUUUAUAAAAUUAUUUGUUAUUAAAUUACCCCCAGAUGCUACAUCACCUGAAACUUAAUAAAGGUAUGAAGACAUGUGUGUGUGGACUGAAAUGAAGAAUAUGGAAAAGUUGAGAGCUGUUGUGCAGAUUGAGUUCAGUUGAUGGGGUCUAUUAGAUAUUGUCUGCUGACGUGGCAUGAAUUCGUUAUAAUCUGUUAUAACGAGUUCAGUAUAUCAGUAUACAAUAGAGCUGAUGGAUGGUGCCUGUUUUAGAGUCUUUUUUAUAUUCAUUUGUUCAUCAUUUUGCGCAAGAUCUGUUCCAUUGUGAUAUGUGUAAAGUCUUAUGUAAACCCACUUAUGAUUGGAUUAGUUCUUGAUUAAUAACAACGAGUAAAUUUUCCUUCAAGUGUGCUGGUCUGUGCCCCUGUUUUUUGUUCUGAUAUUGUUUCUUUGUUCUGGCAUUUCAUUUCGAUUGUGUUCUUGGUGUUUCUACUCAUCAAGAUUUAUGAGUCUUGUUGAGAUUAAAGACUUAAUAGUCUUAACAAGUGGUAUCAGAGCCUGGUGAAUCUCAGCCAUGUCUCUUUCGAAGCAUGAAAUUGAAAAAUUCACCAUUGGUGGUGAUUUCUCGCUUUCGAAAUUAAAAAUGAGGGCUCUCCUUGUGCAUUAGAGGCUUGAAUUUGCUCUGGAAAAAGAUAAUCUAGAGGCUGCUACAAGUUAUGUGACUGAUGAUAAGAAGAGACAAAUCCAAAACCGAGCUCGUAGCACUCUAGUUUUGAGUCUUGGUGACUCAAUCUUGAGAAAGAUUUCUGAAGAGAAGACAACCUUAGGGAUUUGGAACAAGGUAGAAGCUUUGUGUACAAAGAAGUCGCUAGCUCACAGACUAUUCUUGAAGAAAAAGUUAUACACAUUCUCGAUGAGAGAAGGAGUCACAAUUCAAGAUCACAUUGAUACCUUCAACAAGAUCAUUCUUGAUCUUGAAGGGGUGGAAAAUGUGACAAUAAGUGAUGAAGAUAAAGCCUUCUUCUUGUUGAGUUCCUUACCAAAGUCUUAUGAAGGCUUUGUAGAUACAAUGCUUUAUGGCAGAACAACAUUGACUCUUGAAGAUGUUAAAGCAUCUCUAAGUUCAAAAGAGAUUCAGAAGAACAAUGAGAUUGAAACAAAUAAUGGUGAUGGGCUGAUUGCCAGAUCAGAAAAGAAGAAAGAUCAGAAGAAUAAAAAUCAGGGAAAAUGACAUGGAAAGAAUUAAGAAAAUGCAGACAAGAAGAAAAAGAAGAGAAAAUGCUUCUACUGCCGGAAGGAAGGGCAUUACAUCAGGGAUUGUCUUAAAAAGAAAAAAAAAGAAAGUCAAGAGAAGUCAGGGGAUGCAGCUGUAGCCUCUGAUGAUGCCUCUGAUGGAUAUCACAUUGCUGAUUUACUUGUGGCCUCAAAUAGCAAUACUAAAGGUCAGUGGGUCAUAGACUCUGAGUGCUCUUUUCACUUGUGGCCUGAUAAAACCAUAUUUUACAAAUAUGAAGUUGUUGAUGGUGGUAGAGUCUUAAUGGGAAAUAAUAAUGUGUGUAAUCUUGUUGGUAUUGGUUCUGUGAAGAUCAAGAUGUUUGAUGGAACUGUAAGAGCUCUACAUGAGGUGAGGCAUGCUCCUAGGCUAAAGAGAAAUCUAAUCUCUUUAGGCAUGCUAGACAGCUUAGGGUAUUUCUUUAAAUCAGAAAGUGGUGGUUUAGAGAUAAGAAAGGGGACUGAGAUAGUGAUGAAGGGGGUUAAAGAAAAUGGCUUAUAUGUAUUGUAAGGCUCAUCAGUGCUUCUUCAAAAGGGAAUUUCUGCUCUUUUUGAGGAAGAUAUAACCAAGUUAUGACAUCUUAGACUUGGUCAUAUGAGUGUCAAAGGGAUGUAAGAGCUCAGCAAACAAGGGCUACUUGGUGGGGAUAGAAUCCAGCAACUGGAAUUAUGUGAAAAUUGCAUUUUUGGCAAAGCUCACAGGUCCAAGUUUCACAAGGGGGAGCAUAUGUCUAAGCAAGUUUUGGACUAUGCACAUGCUGACCUUUGGGGGCCUGCUCAAGUCCCAUCCUUGAGUGGUGGCAGGUAUUUCAUAUCACUAAUUGAUGAUUACUCAAGGAAGAUGUGGGUCUACAUACUCAAGACCAAAGAUCAAGCCUAGGAAAAAAUUCAAGGUAUAGAAAUCUUUGGUAGAAAAUCAAUUUGGAUUCAAGCUCAAAUGCUUGAGAACUGAUAAUGGUUUGGAAUUUUGUAGCAAAGAAUUUGAGGAAUAUUACAAAAAAACAUGGCAUAAAAAGGCACAAAACAGUCAGGUUCACCCCCCAGCAGAAUGGCUUGGCUGAAAGGAUGAACAUGACCUUGGUAGAUAAGACCAGAUGUAUGUUGAUAAAUUCAAAGCUUCCAAGAAGCUUUUGGGCAGAAGCUGUCAAUACAACAAGUUGUUUGGUUAACAGAAGCCCAUAUUCUGCAAUUGGCUUCAAAACACCAGAAGAAUUGUGGAAGGAAAAACCUGUAAAUUACCAAAAUCUCAGUGUUUUUGGAUGCCCUGCUUAUCUCCACAUCAAUCAAGGCAAGCUGGAAGCUAGGGCCUUGAAAGGAGUCUUUGUUGGAUAUCCUGAUGGGGUUAAGGGAUACAUAAUCUGGUGUAGAGAGUAAGGGAAGUGUAUAGUCAGCAGGGAUGUUGUGUUUCAUGAAUUUGGAUUGCUAAAAGAAAAUGCAGAGAAUGAUACUAGACUACAAAAUGAUUCAAUAAUUAUCAAACAAUCUGGAACUUCCAAGGUUAAGGUGGAGCUGUUUGGAAAUAAAGACAGUAGAAAAGAGGUAGCUGAUUAUGAAGAGAGGACCACAGCUAAAGUUGAGGAACAUGAGUCAUCAGAGUUGCCACAAGCUGACUUGCAGACUUAUCAGUUAGCAAGAGAUAGAGUUAGAAGAGAAGUCAAAGCACUAGUGAGGUAUGGCUAUGCUGACUUAAUUACUUAUGCAUUGUUGUGUGCUGAUGAUGUGGCAAUUGAAGAGCCUGCUAACUUCUCUGAAGUUAUUGAAAGUGUGCAUUGUGAUAAGUGGCUUGAGGCAAUGCAAGAUGAAAUGGGAUCCCUUCAAAGAAAUCAGACCUGGACACUUGUUCCAAAUCUAGGUAAUAAAAAGUUGAUCAGUUGUAAGUGGAUCUUCAAGAAGAAUGAAGGAAUUCCAGAUGUUGAACCUCCCAAAUAUAAAGCAAGGCUAGUGGCUAGGGGGUUUACACAGAGAAAGAGUGUAGAUUUCAAUGAAAAAUUUUCCCCUGUUCUUAAGCACAUUUCAAUAAGAAUUUUAUUAGUCAUGGUAGCCUUACUUGACUUGGAGCUUGAGCAAAUGGAUGUAAAAACAGCAUUCCUUCAUGGUAAUCUUGAAGAACAGAUAUUGAUGGCACAACCUAAAUGUUUUGAGUGCAAAGGAAAUGAGGAUUAUGUUUGUUUGCUGCAUAAGUCCUUGUAUGGACUCAAGCAAUCCCCACGACAGUGGUACAUAAGAUUUGAUGAUUUUAUGGUCUCAAAAGGCUAUCACAUAAGCAAAUAUGACAGUUGUGUUUACUUUGGUGGAUCAUAUCAAGGUGGAGUUGCUUAUUUGCUUCUGUAUGUUGAAGAUAUGUUAAUUGCAAGAAAAUAUAAGUUGGAGAUAGAGAGGUUGAAGAAAUGAAGGAUCUCGGCAAUGCCAAAAGAAUCCUUGGGAUGAACAUUACAAGGGGCAGAUCUGCUGACACUUUGUUCUUGAGUCAUGAGAAAUAUAUCAAGAAGGUUCUGGAGAGGUUUGAGAUGCAAGACUAUAAACCUGUCCAAACACCACUUGGUCCCCAAUUCAAGUUGACAGCAGCUCAAUCAUCAGAAGAUGAGUCUCAGGUGAGUGAAUUCCCAUAUGCACAGGUUGUAGGGAGCCUGAUGUAUGUAAUGGUAUGCACCAGGUCAGAUAUAGCUUAUGCAGUAAGUGUUGUCAGCAAAUUUCUCAGUUGUCUAGGCAAGGUUCACUGGAAUGUUGUAAAAUGGAUAAUGAGAUAUCUUAAGGGCUCUUUUACUUGUGGUUUGCUGUAUGGGAAGACUAAGAGUGACAUAAGUGAAGUCCUGGGGUUUGUAGACUCUGACUUUGCUGGAGAUCUUGAUAGAAUGAAGUCAACCUCAGGGUAUAUGUUUGUGUUAAACAGUUGCCUGAUUAGCUGGAAGUCAUCACUUCAGUCUGUGGUUGCUUUAUCCUCAACUGAAGCUGAGUUUGUUGCAACUACAGAGGCAGUAAAAGAGGCCAUGUGGCUAAGAGGUUUGCUUAAUGAGUUAUGGUUAAAUCAGAAAAUUGUUCAGGUUUUCUGUGAUAACCAAAGUGUCAUACACCUGGUAAAGAAUCAGAUGUAUCAUGAAAGAACCAAGCACAUUGAUGUGAAGCUCCAGUUUAUCAGAGAUGAGGUUGGAAAAGGAACUAUAAUUGUGUCCAAGAUCUAUACCAGUGUGAAUCCAACUGAUGUUAUUACAAAAGCACUUCCCACUGCAAAAUUUGAAUUCUAUGUGAAUCUAAUGGGCAUCUCGCCCAAACCUAACUAAAUUCAAUAGUGAAUUGUAGUUGAAUGAAGGUUUUUUAGGUGCUGUGUUAUUGAAAGGAUCAACUGAAUCAACUGCAAGGUGGAGAAUGUGAAGAUGUGUGUGUGGACUGAAAUGAAGAAUAUGAAAAAGUUGAGAGCUGUUGUGCAGAUUGACUUCAGUUGAUGGGGUCUAUUAGAUAUUGUCUGCUGACGUGGUAUGAAUUCGUUAUAAUCUGUUAUAACGAGUUCAAUAUAUCAGUAUAUAAUGGAGCUGAUGGAUGGUGCCUGUUUUAGAGUCUUUUUCGUAUUCAUUUGUUCAUCAUUUUGCACAAGAUUUGUUCCAUUGUGAUCUGUGUAAAGUCUUCUGUAAAUCCACUCAUGAUUGGAUUAGUUCUUGAUCAAUAACGAGUAAAUUUUCCUUCAAGUGUGCUGGUCUGUGCCCCUGUUUUUGGUUCUAAUAUUGUUUCUUUGUUUUGGCAUUUCAUUUCGAUUGUGUGCUUGGUGUUUCUACUCAUCAAGAUUUGUGAGUCUUGUUGAGAUUAAAGGCUUAAUAGUCUUAACAAAAGGGAAUGUAGCAUUGCCAUUAAUCAACAUUCACUCUUAUGACUUUAUGACAUUAGAAUUAAAAUCUUUCGUACAUUUAAUUUAUUUGCUUCCAAAUUAAUCUUUAAUAAAUAUUUUUUCACAUUAUCAUCAAUGGACAAAACUCCAACGAAAAUAACUACACGAGAACAAUUUAUGCUAGUAUUAAAUGCCACGAUAUCUAUAACUUUGUCUGGAUCGAUCAUUCUAAUUUUUUCGCAGAACUUUUUGUCAAUGGACAAACACCUCACAGAGCUUGUCAGCCGCAUUAUUACGAUGUAAAAUUGUACCGGAAUAUCUUGAAUUAUUAGUAGAAUAAUGAAGACUAUUUGGGGCAAUAAAAACAAAUAACGCAGAUAAAAAAAUGGCUAAAAUUAUGUAAGUGAGCCCCAAAGUUUUUGCUAUUUCCAGGAAAUCCCAAAUUUGAAUGGACUAGAGGGAGGCACGUAAGAAAUACAUUUUCUUCCUAGACAAUGACAGCUAUGACAUCAAGCCACGGUGGCGUCAGUAUUGAAAUUAAGGUGUAAUUAUUCAGCCAAUGAGCCUUACACAUCAAGAUAAAAGUCAAGAUAAUGAAAAUUUGGCUGUUUCCAUUUGAAGUUAAAAGCAACGUUUCUUUCGUUUUGUGGGCGACUCGACUGAGCACGCCCCAAUAGCUAUAUUUAGGGCGUCAAUUUGAUAUUUGAAUGGACAGGCAAGUAAGAAAUACAUUUCCUUCAUAGACAAUGACAACGAGGACAUCAAGCCACAUCAUUAUAGUUUGUAGCCCAUCUACAUUUAAACGAUUAAUAAACAAGCUUAGGUGUGCCACUGCUAUUAUUAAUUAUCCCCUGAUCAUUAUAGUUUCUGAAACAGUAAAACUAAACGAAAUUGAAUACAUCAACGAGACCGCAAUUAUCACUUGUUUAGUUGCGGUAUUUAACUUAAUUUUAAUAUAAUAUAUUUGUUAGUUAAACUUUUAAUAAUCAAAUAAUUUUGAUUUAAAAAUAAAAUUAUAGAAAUUAUUAAUUAUUAAUUAUUAAAAAUUCACAAUUAAGGGAACGUUCAUCAAACACACAUAGCUAUUGUUUUCUCUAUAUAUUGCAGUGUGUACGAUAUUGAGGGUUGAAGCCCCAAGCAUGCUCUAAAAUCCAGAUAAUAAUUAGAUCCGGGCCAAAUAUUCAUCAUUGUGUCAGCUGAUCAGUCGGUGGACAUCUCUAUUGAAAAUAUCUCUGACAUUUCACUCGACAAACUUAUUAAUAUAAAAAAUCUGUGGUUUUGCCGUCUGAAUAAUGUAGAAAAAUUUGUCUAUGCAUUAAUCUAGAUGUUUGAGGUGAUUUAUACAUCUGUGGUAAAGAUUUAUAGGUUGACUUAGACGUCUGUGGUAUAGAUUUUAUGUAUUUCAUUACAAAAUGCUGGCCGUUAGAACCCUUUCUACAUCUAUUUAUAAGAUUAACGGGUGCCAGCUAUGCCAUUACAAAUUAUCCCCUCAUCAGAUAUUUCGUUAAAAUUCAUUCUGAAACACUAAAACUAAAUAAUCGAAUAUGGCUUUGCGGGUCGAUGAUGCCAGCAGCAAUGAGACUGCAAUUAUCACUUGUUUAGUUUCUGUGCUGGCCGUGGUUUACUUCGCAUGGAAUGUGAAAAAAUCAAGGAAAGCAAAUGCUACACUGCCACCAGGACCUCGCGGCUUGCCUGUAUUCGGAUACCUCCCAUUUCUUGGAACUACUGACUUGCACAAGAAAUUCACGGAAUUAUCCGGAGUUUAUGGUCCGAUCUUCAAGCUUUGGCUUGGAAAUAAAUUAUGUGUAGUGGUGAGCUCACCUUCCCUAAUUAGACAAGUGGUUCGUGAUCAAGAUACAACAUUCGCGAACCGUGACCCACCGAAGGCUGCACUAGUGGUCUCCUAUGGUGGCAAUGAUAUUGCAUGGUCCAAUUACGGUCCCGAAUGGAGAAAGUUGCGCAAAUUUUUUGUGGGCAAGAUGAUGAAUAACGCAAGCCUUGAUGCUUGUUAUGCUCUAAGAAGACAAGAGGUUAAAAAUACUAUCAGGGAUUUGUAUAACAACGACAACAAAAUUGGCAAGCCCAUUGACAUUGGUGAAUUGUCGUUUUCAACAUUGGUAUGUGCUAUACAGAACAUGCUGUGGGGUGAAGCGCUUGAAUUAAAAGAGAAAGGGACCACUAAUCUUAGGGCUGGGCUAAAAUUUAAGCUGGCAGAACUCAUGGUGCUUGCGGGAACACCGAAUAUUUCGGAUGUCUUUCCAAUGCUUUCAUGGCUUGACAUACAAGGUAUAGAGAGGAGAGCAAAGAAGAUUUCACUCUGGCUUGAUAAUGUUAUAAAUUCUACUGUUGAACAGCAUAGAAACAAGGAGUUAACUGUUGAAGGUGAAGAAAGAGCGGGGAAAAAUUUUGAAGGAUCAAGGAACAAGAACUUCUUGCAGUUACUAUUGGAGCUUCAAGAAAAUGAUGACAGUGCUUCCUCAAUUAGCAUGAACCAAUUCAAGGCCGUACUCGCGGUAUGUUAAGCAACUAGCCACGAACAGUUAUACAAGCACAAUUGUAUAUUUGCAUGAGUGAUAUUUUCAACCUUUUUUUUUAAUUAGAAUUUUAUUGUCACCUUUUGGACAGGAUAUAAUUACGGCUGGAACCGACACCACAACUACGAUGGUGGAAUGGACAAUGGCAGAGUUGAUGCAGCAUCCACAAGUAAUGAAGAAAGUUCAGGAAGAAUUAGCUCAAGUUGUGGGCAUGGACAGUUGUGUUGAAGAAUUUCACCUGUCUAGAUUAAUGUAUUUAGAUGCUGUGGUGAAGGAAACAUUUCGUCUGCAUCCUGCAGUGCCUUUAUUACUACCACGUAGGGCAAGCGAGAGUGGCAACAUUGGUGGCUAUACCAUUCCCAAAGAUACAACUCUUAUGUUGAAUGUUUGGGCUAUCCACAGGGACCCUCACCUUUGGGAUAAUCCCUUAGAAUUUCGACCCGAGAGGUUUCUGAAUGUUGGUAUCGAGAGUAAGUUCGAUUACUCAGGUAACAAUUUUCAGUACUUGCCAUUUGGUUCUGGUAGAAGGAUGUGUGCUGGGAUUCCUCUAGCUGAGAGGAUGCUGAUGUUUGUUUUGGCUUCGUUAUUGCACUCAUUCGAGUGGGAAUUGCCAACUGGCACAAAGCUAAACUUAUCAGAAAAAUUUGGGAUUGUCAUUAAGAAAAAAGAGCCUUUGGUUGCUAUUCCAACACCAAGACUAUCCAAUUCAGAGCUCUACCAUUAAGACCAAAUGGUUGUGAUGAUUUUGUUAAUUUCCGAAGAUUUGUAUGUUAUUUCAAGUUCAAUCGUAGUAAAAUAUUUCAAAUAAGAGUCCUCCGUUGCUUUUUUUUUUUUUUUUCAACGGCAUAAUCUGUGGUCAUGCUUGUAUUUGGAGCCACUUUAGAAAAAUUAUGUUUGAAUUACAAUUUAUAAAUAUUACAUUUUAAAAUAUUAUGAGGCUAAAUUUAUACACGUUCAAUAACCCGCUUCAUAUAUAUUUAACACAAUUUAUAUCAUACAUUGUACACCCAUUUAUCAUAAAUUACACUAUUUUGUAUCUCUAAAUAAUAUUACGUAUUGAUAUUAUAAAAUAUAUAUGGAAAAGAGAACAAAGAAGAUUUCUUAUGGUUUGAAAAUAUUAUGAAUUCUGCUGUUGAACAGUAUGGAAACAAGGUCUCUGUUGUUAAAGGUGAAGAAGCAACAGGGAACAAUAUUGAAGGAAGAAAUUUCACAUGUUUAGUUGCUGAAUUUGCCGCUGUAUUCUAUCGGUAGUAAAAAAAUUAGAGUUUUUAUUUUUCUCUAUUAAUGUUAAGUCAAUUUUCUAUAACAAAUUCGGUUGAGUUUAAUUGUGUUACAAUAUAAAUUGAAUGAUAAUAGAAUUUUCAACGAAUAUUUCAAUAUUUCUAUCUCGAUUGUUGAAGUGCCAUUUAUUUGUUAUGCGAUCGAUUUUAAAAUUUAUAAAAAUUAUUUGUUACUAAAUUGCAUCAUAUGCUAAAAUCACCUGAAACCUAAUUCCAUAACUAACCCUUUAUUUUUAGUUCUCAAGAAAUCUUGUAAGAACAAAAUUCUUUUAUAACAAAACUUUUACAACACAUUAAUUUGUAACUCAUUCCUGUGCGAGAAUCACUCUCAAAUUCCUUCAAUUGCUGUUGAACAAUCAUCUGCUUAUCAAAAUUCAAGCAUAAUCUUUUCUUUUUUUUAAUUUCUUCAUCAUUCUUUUGAAAAAAAAAAAUCAGGAUAUGCUGUUAAAAUUUUGAAAUAAAUUAUCUCAAAAUAAUUACUAACCAGAAAAAACAAAGGGGUUUAACUAGGUUAUGCAUACCUUUGAAAAUUAUAUGUUGAUCGAUAAGAAUGAUGAUCACGAUUGAGGAGUUUAAUUAAAAUAUAUAAGAUUUUAAAAUUAAUCAGGGUUAAAUUGUGAAUUUUAGAAAGAGAGGUUUUGUGAGAAUGCUGAAAGGGUGUUAAUAGUUCCACUCUUUUUAAAAGCAACCAUAGUCAUCAUUUUUCCCGAUUUCUUCUUCCCAUCUCCAUCUUAUUUAGAAAUUUCCCAGAGCCUUUGUUUCCCACCUUUCAUUGUUCUUCUUUCUAAUUUAAUACUAUAGGAUUACAAAAAUAAUUACUCACAUUUUAUCAAACACCUCCAUUCUACCAAGGCCUUGUUUUAGUAGUAGGCUUUUAUUAUCUCAAUAAAAUUGAAAAAACAAAUCUCAAUAAUAUUGGAAAAAAAAAACCUACCCAUAUUUGUAACUUUAAUUUAUUAUUCUCCAUAGACCUACUUUUUAGCUUUGAAUUUUGUUGGAGCCAUAUAUAAACAGAAUAUGUUGAAUCAGCACCAAAAAAAAAAAAAAAAAACUAAUUAUAUAAUUUCUGUUCCCAAGGACAUGACUGAUUGAUUUUCAAGAAGUUUUGUUUGGCUGGCUACUUAGGUUUAAAUCUUGGUGGAGAUUAGGGGUUAAGAAAUAAAUUUGGACUUUGCACACCCCUUUAACUUUUAAAAAGAAAUGAAAAAAACUAAUUAAUUAAUCUUUAUUUUAUUUAUUAAAUAUCAUAAUCCUAUGCGUAUUUUAUUUGUUAUCUUUCUAUUUAAAAGACAGGAGGGCAGAUAAAACUGAAAUAAAUUUUUAGCCCUAUCUCCAUCUUUCAAGUUCCAUAGUUAGGUGACCAGGUAAAGAAAAUUAAUUGAAAGCUACUCCAUCAAAUUAAAAAAUUUUAUUUAUUUAAUUUGUGGAGAUGUAGAAAAUCAAACCCCAUGCCUUUUCGCGUGGAAAAGUGUCAACCUGGUCUAGCUAUGUUGCAAAAGUGAACAUAUUUUAAUACAUGACUAUCAUCCUUUAUCCUAAAUACUACUAUAACUAAUAACAUACAAUUGAAAUAAUUAAUGUUAACACUUGGCUAUAAAUAAAGGUUUUGUGCUUGAAUCUUCACGCAUGACCUUCAUUCCUUUAUUUACUUUGCUAACACAGAUUUUGAGGCAUUAAAACUAAAUAAUAAUUGACUUUGUGGGCCGAGGAUGCCAGCAACAAGGAGACCACAAUUAUCACUUGUUAAGUUACUCUAAUUGCCGUUGUCUUAUAUUCAUAGAAUAUUAGUAAUAAGAUUAUUGUAGAAUUUUUUUAUAUUAAAAUUAAGUCAAUUUGUUAUAACAAAUUUAGUUGAGUUUAAUCGUGUUACCACAUAAAUUGAAUAAUAAUAAAAUUCUCGACAAAUAUUUCAAUAUUUUUAUCCCAAGCGUUGGAGUGGCAUUUAUUUGUUAUACGAUCAAUUUUAGAAUUUAUAAAAUUAUUCGUUACUGAAUUGCACCAUAUGCUGCAUGACCUGAAACUUAAUAAACGGAACGUAGCGUUGGCACCGUUACUCAACAUACUGUUACGACUUUGUGACAUUAGAAUUAAAAUCUUUUGCACAUUUAAUUUGUUUACUUCCAAAUUAAUAUUUAACAAAAUAUUUUUUCACAUUAUCAAUGGACAAAACUCCAACGAAAAUAACUACACAAGAAAAAUGUAUGCUAGUAUUGUGUGCCAUAUCAUCUGUAAUUUUGUCAGGAUCGAUCAUUCUAAUUUUUAAGCAGAACUUUUUAUCAAUGGACAAACACCUCACACAGCUUGUCAGAGGCAUUAUUAUGAUGGAAAACUGUAAUGGUAUAUCUUGAAUUAUUGGUAGAAUAGUUCUUUGGAGCAAUAAAAACAGAUAAGACAGAUGAGAAAAUUGUCAAUACCCCACCGCAAAAGCAAAAGAAAAAAAGGAAAGGAGACAAAAGAGGAAGAAGAAAAAGAAAAAAGAACGAAGAAAAAAAUGGUGCCGCGCGGUAUAGGCAAGAAGAAAAAAUAAUAAUAAAAUAAUAAAAUAAUAGUGCACAACAGUCAUUUGAUUGCUAUAAAUAAAGGGGCAUUUCCCUCAUUUUAUUCAUCGAAUUCUUCAGUUCCUAAGCGAUUUAAGAGUCUAGUGAUUUGAGAGUUUGGGUAUAGUAUAGUUUUGAGUAGUGAGUUAAAAUAUUACAAUACUUAUAACUUAUUUUUACUAAUAAAAUAUUUUUCUUCUAUCUUCACCCGUGGACGUAGGGUCAAAGCCGAAUCACAUAAUUUUUAGUAUCCCUAUGUGAUUAUGUAUCUCAUUAUUUUUCAAUUUUACUUUAGUUACGUGUCUGCUACAUCCUUCAAUUUACUAACAAAAAUGGCCAAAAUUAUAUAAGUGACCCAAAUUUUUUUGCUAUUUCCAAGAAAUCUCCAAUCUGAAUGGGCCAGACCAGAGGGAGGCAAGUUAGAAAUACGUUUCCUUCAUAGACAAUAACAGCGAUGAGUCGAUGACAUCGAGCCACGUCGGUAUCAAUAUUGAAUUAAAGGUGCAAUUAUUCAGCCAAUGAGCCUUACACAUCAAGAUAAAAGUCAAGAAAAUGAAUAUUUAUCCUAAUUAAAACACUUUCUGGCUGCAUUUAGUUGUUUCCAUUUGAAGUUAAAAGCAACGUUUCUUUCGUUUUGUGGGCAACUCGACUCAGUUAGCUGGCUUCUAGUGCUAGUAAGUGAAAAUAGAAGGCUAAUGAUUUAUUUGUUAUCUUUUGAUAAAAUUAUUAAAGAUAUAAUAGAUUUUUCAUGAUACAAAUAAAAAAUCACAUCAACAUAGCUUCCAAAGUACAACAGCUAAUGUUUACCAAACACUUUGUUGUAGCUUUUAAGCUACAGCUGCCCAACUUUAAUUUCAAAUGCACCCUUAAUAGGUUGAUUGAAUUUGUGGGAUAUAGAUUCCACAUAUCGUAUGACCUAGUAACUAUACAAGUGGUUCGUGAUCAAGACACAACAUUUGCUUCCGGCCCGGUGACCCAGCAAUCGCUGCAUUGGUCGCCACCUAUGGUGCCAACGAUAUUGCAUGGUCCAAUUGUGGCCUUGAAUGGAAAAAGUUGAGCAAAUUAUUUGUGGACACGAUGAUAAGUAACGCAAGCCUUGAUGCUAGUUAUGGUCCAAGAAAACAAGAGAUAUGCAUAACAACAAAAAGGAAAAAAAAAAAAAAAAAAAAAAAGGCAUUUGCAAGCCCAUUGAUAUUGGUGAAUUGUCGAUUUCAACUUUGGCAUGUGUAAUCCAGAGCCUGCGCGCUGUGGUGUGGCGCUGGCACGCUUGCAUUGACGAGGGGACAAGUCUUGGGGCUGAGCUAACAUUUAAGCUCGCAGAACUCAUGGUGCUAAUGGGAACACCAAAUAUUUUUUGACAUAUUUUGGUGCUUUCAUGGUUUAAUUCAAGGUAUAGAAAGGAGUGUUGAGAAUGUCAAAUAAAACGGUAUUGAAUGGAAGUUGUUAAAGACACGAUCCGCACCGAACGACAACAGCACGGUUGCUAAAAAUCCUUCCGUAAUAGGCAUAUCUAAUUUUUGAAAAAGUGUAACCUCUACAUUUAUAAAUAUACUCAAUGUAUAAUGUUUUACUUAAGAAAUGAAAAACUUGUUUGUUCAAGGAGAAUAAAGAAAAAUUUUCUAUGAUUUUUCUAUGGUUUGAACAAAGAAGGUUUUAACGAGUAUUAUAGACCUCGAUUGAAUGUUCGAAUGUAUAAUAAAAGAGAAACUGUCACAUAAAUGACAAAGAUACUUGAAAAAAAAAAAAAAGGGCAGCAAUAGAGAAUUAGAUCCGACUGUACAAAUAACUAGUUAAUUCAUCGAUACAUCAUUUUCUUGCUAGAAAAUGACAAUUAUGACAGCAAGCCACGAUAGUGUCAAUAUUGAAAUUGAUUUGCAAUUAUUCAGCCUAUGAGCCUUACACGUCAAGAUAAAAGUCAAGAAAAUGAAAGUUAAUAUCAAUUAAAACACUUCCAUUUCUAUGUGAAGUUAAAAAACAACGUUUCUUUUGUUUUGUGGGGGAUUCAACUGAGCACGCGCCACUAGCUAGCUGGCUUCUAGUUCUAGCAUAUGAAAACAGAAUUCUAAAGAUUUCACUUUCACCUUUUUUCUUUUUUUGGGGUUUUGAAUCAAAGUCAAGGUCGCACUGAAUAAUAUGUAAAAUUUGAAAAAGAAGAAUUAAUAGAGAACAAAGUUUUGUUUUAAAUUCACAUGGUGUGCAUACAAUUCAACAAACACUUCCUAUAAUAAAUCUGGAGUUGUAUCCCACGUUGAACAAUAAAGGAAAGUCACCUAAAUAUACAUGUAGGAUAAGUUACUUUAUUUAGUAAGUUUGUAUUUUCUUCUUUCUUCUAGUUUACAUAUAAAUUUGAUUAGAUAACUUAACACAUAUUUUAAUACUUGAUCAGAAGCCCGACGUACAGGUGGAUCUAGAAACUUGAUUUCUAAGAGUAAUACUAUAAUAAAAAAAUAAUGAUUCAUAGAACCAAUAUCAAAAUUUGUUUACAAGAUUGCCCCCACUCAAAGGUAAUUUUCAUAGAAAUUAAUAGGAAAUUUAAUUGUUAGUGGGGUCAAAUUGCCCCCACACUCUGAAUGUAGAUCCACGCCCGACCCUGAGUCAAGUAUAUUUUGCCACAUAUACUCUGAAUGUCGGCAGGAAAAAUCUUCCACUUUAGUUAAAAAUUUUCACUUAAAAAAUAUUUAUGUUAAUAAAGUUCGUAAAGGAAAUGAGUUUAAUUAAUGAAUAUUAUAGGAGAAAUUAAAGGAAAUGAGUUUAAUUAAAGAAUAUUAUAGGAGAAAUUCUAUUGUUCGGCUUUUAAUAAAUUAAUUAAUAGGUUUAAAAGAUUAAUAUACAUCAAAAUAUUAUUAGUUGGUGGGGGUUCCACAUCGGACUAAUACGUGUCACCUUACUUGUGAGAUUAAGACAAUCGACUUAGACUAUUUAAAUAUGUUUGAAGCUUAGAUGGCACCGCUUCAAUUUGCAUUACUGAAUGUCAUUCUUUAUCCUAAUUACUACCGUAAUUGAUAACAUGCAAUUGAAGUAACUAAUAUUAGCACUUGGCUAUAAAUGAACUAAAGGCCGUGCAAUUGAAUCUUUACUUGAUCACUUCACUCCUUUAUUUUGCUAACACAGAUUUUGAGAUAUUAAAACGAAAUAAUAAUUGAAUCUGGCUUUGUGGGUCGAUGAUGCUAGCAAAAACGAGACCACAAUUAUCACUUGUUUAUUUGCUGUAUUUGACGUUGUUUCAUAUUGGUAGUAAUAGGGUCAGUUUUUAAUCUUUUUAUAUUAAAGUUAAGUCAAUUUGUUAUCAAAAAAAAAAAUUGGUUGAGUUUAAUUAUAUUGCUAUGUACAUUAAAUAAUUAUAAUAUUCUUGAGGGAAAAAGACACCUAGAACCUCAAGGUUUGGGGAAAUGGUCACAAAGACUCCUAAGUUUUAAAAAAGGAACACUAAGAUCUUUUUUUACCCAUAAUACCCUUUGACUAGAGUAAUUAAAAAAUUGACUUUAAAGGUUUUUAAAUAAUUCUAAUUUAAUAUAAAUCAUAUAAUCUAUCUAGUAAACUAAUAAUAUUAAAUUAUUUUUUAUAUUUAAAAUAAUGUUAAAUUUUAAAUUAUUAUAUUUAUAAAAUUAUAAAGAUUUUAAAUAAAUAUUUGGAUUGAAUAUAUUUUACAAUUAAAAGUCUUCCUAUUAAUAAUAUUAAAAUUUAAUUUUACAAAAUAUAUAUUCAAAAUAUUUUUAAUUUUAAUUUAUUUAUUUUAAUAUUAUGUUUCUACCUAUUAUUAAAAAUUACUUUAAUAUAAUAAAAUAGGUCUAAUAGAUUGAAAAAUAUGAAAAUAUUUUUAAAAUUUUAAAUUAUUUUGAAAUGUAUAUAUUAUUACAUUUAUUUCAAUGUCAUAUUUUCAUUUAUUAUAAAAUUUUGGGGUUAUUUUUUUGGGAAUUUAUAGAGUCAAAGAGCAUUAUAAUUUAAUCCAUGCACAAUAUCUAUAAUUAUAUCGGUUGUCGGCUGAUUUCGUGGAGGGGGCGGCAGUUCAAAAUUUUUACGUGCAUGUUGGAUGGACGUCUCUAUUAAAGGAGAGCCACCACUUGCAUGGUAAUUUUUUUAAAUAAAUAUAUACAUUUCAAAACAUUAUUUUCUUGUUGUAUAGUUAACAUGUCACCUUAGAUGUAUUUUAGAGCUUCUCCUAUUAAAGAUAAUCUCAUGCAGUGUUACAGAGUAUGGUAAUAUGGUAUAGAUGAGAGCAUCUGAUUAAAUGAAGCAGCUGGUAAUGCUUACGUGUGUGAGUUAGUUAUCCAGCUCAGCAGCAAAGCAAACGAAAUGAAUUGCAUGCAUAUUAGAUCCAACAAACUGGUAAACUCUAGAUUCUUCUUUCAUUUAGUAUAAAUACCAAGUUGUUAUCAUUUGCUAAAUAUAUAAUAAGAUGAUCAUUUUCAGAUCUUUCCUUUAUAAUUUUCUAUAACUUUCUCGUUAGUUUCUCUUGAACCAAACACUUUGUACGAACUCUUUCGUGCAGUGAUACUUCUCGUGAUCUAAUCAUUAGUAGAAUCUAUAAUUUCGCUACUGUAAUAAAAUCUGUCACUACCCUAUAUGAAUGUAGAUAUUUGACGCGAUUUGUAAUUGCUUCCGACAGGAAAACAGCAAUAGUUUUAUUGAAAUUUGUGGUAUAGAUUCCACGAAUCUUAUGACAGAAUACUGACCACUCCAACCCUAUCCGCAUUUACACGAUUAAUACACAAGCUUAGAUGUGACAAUGCAUUUGUCACUCAUUCAAAUUCAUCCUGAAACACUAUACACUAAAUAAUCGAAUAUGGCUUCGUGGGUCGAUGAUGCUAGCAGCAACGAGACUGCAAUUAUCACUUGUUUUGUUGCUGUACUUGUCGUGGUCUAUUUCGCAUGGAAUGUAAACAAAUCAAGUAAAGCAAAUGCUAAAUUGCCACCAGGACCUCGGGGCUUGCCAGUAGUCCGAUACCUCCCAUUUCUUGGAACUACUGACUUACACAAGACAUUCACGGAGUUAUCUGGAGUUUAUGGUCCGAUCUUCAAGAUUUGGCUUGGGAAUAAAUUGUGUGUAGUGGUGACCUCGCCUACCCUAGUUAAACAAGUGGUCCGUGAUCAAGAUAUAACAUUCUCAAACCGCGACCCACCGAUCGCUGGAACUGUGACCACCUACGGUGGCAAUGAUAUUGCACUUUCCAAUUACGGUCCCGAAUGGAAAAAGUUGCGAAAAUUAUUUGUGAGCAAGAUGAUGAGUAAUGAGACCCUUGAUGCUUGUUAUGCUCUAAGAAAACAAGAGGUUAAAAAUACUAUCAGGGAUUUGUAUAACAACAAUAAGGAUAAUAUUGGCAAUGGCAAUGGCAAGCCCAUUGACGUUGGUGAAUUGUCGAUUUCAACUUUGGUACGUGUUAUGCAGAACAUGCUGUGGGGUCAAGCAUUGGAAACAAGAGAGAAAGAGAUUACUAAUCUCGGGGCUAAUCUUGCAGAACUCAUGGUGCUACUGGGAACACCAAAUAUUUCGGAUAUUUUUCCAGUGCUUUCAUGGCUUGACAUGCAAGGUAUAGAGAGAAGAGCUAAGAAGAUUUCUCUAUGGUUUGAAAAUAUUAUCAAUUCUGGUGUUGAACAGUAUAGAAACAAGUUCUCUGUUGUUAAAGGUGAAGAAGCUGCAGCACGAAAAAAUAUUGAACGAUCAAGAAAUAAGGACUUCUUGCAGUUGCUGUUGGAGCUUCAGGAAAAUGAAGAUAGUGCUUCAUCUAUUAGCAUGAACCAACUAAAGGCCGUGCUCGUGGUAUGUUAAGCAACUAGACACAAAAAGUUGUAAAAGCACAGCGAUAUAUUUGCGCGAGGCCCCGAGUGAUGUUUUGCCUCGAGAACUCUCAAUUUUAUCUUACGGUAAAAAAUGUUUUUCAACUUUUUUUUUUAAUUAGAAUUUUAUUGCAAUUUAUUUAACAGGACAUAAUUGUGGCCGGAACCGACACCACAACUACGAUGGUGGAAUGGACAAUGGCAGAGUUGAUGCAACAUCCACAAGUAAUGAAGAAAGUUCAAGAAGAAUUCGCUCAAGCUGUGGGCAUGGACAGUUGUGUUGAAGAAUAUCACUUGCCUAAAUUAAAGUAUUUAGAUGCUGUGGUGAAAGAAACAUUUCGUUUGCAUCCUGCGUUGCCCUUAUUGGUACCUCGCACGGCAAGCAAGAAUAGCAACAUUGGUGGCUAUACCAUUCCCAACGACACUAAUCUUAUGUUGAAUGUUUGGGCUAUCCACAGGGACCCUCAACUUUGGGAUAAUCCCUUAGAAUUUCGACCUGAGAGGUUCUUGAAUGAUGGUAUCAUAAGCAAUUUCAAUUACUCGGGUAACAAUUUUCAGUACUUGCCAUUUGGUUCUGGUAGAAGGAUGUGCGCUGGGAUUGCUCUAGCUGAGAGGAUGUUGAUGCUUGUUCUGGCUUCGUUGUUGCACUUGUUUGAGUGGAAAUUGCCCUCGGGCACAAAGCUAGACUUAUCUGAAAAGUAUGGGAUUGUCAUGCGGAAAAAAGAGCCUCUAAUUGCUAUUCCAACACCAAGGCUACCAAAUUCAGAUCUCUACCAGUAAGAUCAAAAUGGUUUUGAUAAUAUUAUUUCCCAUUGUAUUGGAUUUGAAGUUCAAUCAUAAUAAAAUAUUUUAAUAAAAUGUCCUCGGUUGCUAAUUUUUCAAUAGUAUAAUCUGCACCUGUCUUUUAUAGCAAUUUGGUCUAAUUUAUUUUUGAAUUAAAAUCCAUAAAUAUUUAUAUUUUUUUAAUUAUAUUAGGAAUUAUGUGGGGUGUAUGGUCUGAUCUUCGAGCUAUGCCUUGAAAACAAAUUAUGCAUAGUCGUGCACACGCUUUCCCUAAUUAAGUUUGUGGUUCGUGCUCAAGGCACAGCAUUCACCCCCCGCGACCCAACAAUCGCUACAUUGUUCCCCACCUAAAGUGCCAACAUAUUGCAUAAGUAACGCAAAAUAUGGUCCCCAAUGGAAAACGUUGCGCAAAUUAUUUCUGGGCAAGAUGAUAAGUAACGCAAGCCUUGAUGCUUGUUAUGGUCUAAGAAAACAAGAGGUUAAAAAUACUAUCAGAGACAUAUAUAAAACAACAACAGAAAAAAUUGGCAUUAUCAUCGAUAAUGGUGAGUUGUGGAUUUCAACUUUGGUAUGUUUAAUUCAGAACCCGCAGUGGGGUGGCGCUAGCACGCCUGCGUUAGGAGACGAGGGGACCAAUCUUGGGGCCGAGCUAAAAUAUAGGCUUGUAGAGCUCAUGCUGCUAAUGGUAAUGGGAACACCUACUAUUUCGGAUACUUUUCCGAUGCUGGUUUAAUUCAUGGUUUAGAAAGGAGAACAAAGAAGAUUUUUCGAUGCUUUGAAAAUAUUAUAAUUUUUAUAAAAUCUCUUAUUGAUAACUAAACAACUAAAAUUUCUGUAAAGUUUUUGUGGACUUUUGAUCUCCUAUGGUGCCAAUAUUUUCGACUAAUUUUUUCCUUCAAUUAAUGAUGUUGGUUGAGAAAGACUAUUUUUCUUGCAAUAAUAUAGUAUUCGUGGUCCUAUUAGGGUUCCGAAUGGAGAAAGUUGCACUAAGUUUUUUGAGUACCAAAUGAUGAGUAAUGUACGUAAGCCUUGAUGGUAGUUAUGGUCUAAGAAAACAAGAGGUUAAAAAUACUAUCUGGGAUUUGUACAACAAUAACAAAAUUGGCAAGCCCAUUGACAUUGGUGAAUUGUCAGUUUCAACCUUGGUAAGUGUUUUCAGAACAUGCUGUGGGGUGAAGCGCUUGGAAUAAGAAAGAAACGGAUGACGAAUAUUGGGGCUGAGCUUAGAUUUAAACUUGCAGAACUCAUGGUGCUGUCAGGAACACCGAAUAUUUCGGAUAUCUUUCCAGUGCUUUCAUGGUUUGAUAUACAAGGUUUUGAGAGAAUAGCAAAGAAGAUUUCUCUAUGGUUUUAAAAUAUUAUCAAUUCUACUGUUGAACGCUAUAGAAACAAGGUCUCAGUUGUUAAAAGUGAAGAAGAAGACGCAGCAGCAGCAGCAGCAGGGAACAACAUUGAAGGAAGGAAUAAGGACCUGGUGCAGUUACUCUUGGAGCUUCAAGGUAAAGAAGAAAAUGCUUCAUCAAUUAACAUGACGCAAUUUAAGAGCUUGCUCGUGGUAUGUUUGCGCAACUAGCCACAGACAGUUACAGAAACUGAGUUUGGCAGAUUACGACCGUUUCUGGUGAUUAUAUAACUAUUUGUGGCUGUUUUUUGUUUUUUUUUUCUUUUAAUUGGAAUUUUAUUGUAAAUUUCUUAACAGGAUAUAAUUUAGGGUGGAACCAACACCACAACUAUAAUGGUGGAAUGGACAAUGGCAUAAUUGAUACAGCAUCCACAAGUAAUGGAGAAUGUAAAGGUAGAACUAAGUCGGGCCGUGGCCAUUGACAGCCAUGUUGAAGAAUUUCACCUACCUAAGUUAAAAUAUUUAGAUGUUGUGGUGAAAGAAACAUUCCGCACGAUAAUAUAAUAUAUGAAUCAUAUAUCCUCUAUUGGUUUUUUGCUCCUUUUUUUUUCAAUAGCUUAAUCUAUCAUUAAAAUCUUCUGAAAUUCUAAAUUAAUAUACAUUCAACCUAGAGUUCAACCCAAAGUUUUAUUGAGCAUUAAAAAAAAAAAUUCUACGACUAAAAAUUUUACAGAGUAUAAAUUAAAAAUUAUGCGCCUACUAACAGACAAAAAACAAUUGAUACACAUUCACCAAUCAAAGGCAAACAAGAGAUUAUUAACAAUAACUUAAUAAUAAAAUUAUAAGGAAUCAAAUAGAAAUGGUACCUAGAAACACAUCACGCCAUUUAAUCAAUCACUUACCCAUAAAAUCCAAACUUAUAAACUAUUAAGGGGGGGAAAUGGAUACCUUUGGGUUUCAUUAAAUCAAAAUUACAACACCAUUAAAUACUCAAAAAUGAAAAAAAAAAAAUCAUACCCAAUAAAAGAGAAAAAAAUAACCCACAAAAAAAAUCAUCAAGAAAAUAAAUUUGAGACUAAGAGAAGAUAUUAAUUAACGCCUGGGUUGCAUUGGAACCACGGCUUUGGCUUCCAUUUUUCAAUUCUUGGUCACAAGUGAUUUCUUGUUUGUUUGCAAUGAUGACGGUUGAUUAAUGAAGCUCUAUUAACAAUGAAUGAAUCAAAAAACUUGAGCCUUGAAAAGACUAACGGUCAUAUUUUUCAACUCCGAAUUAGUGGCGUUUGAUGAGUCCUUGCCAAAACAAUCACUCGGCAGAUAACGAUCAUUUUUCAACCAGCAAAACUCAUUCAUUGUUUUUCACCUUAGUGAAGAUUUAAAAAUUGUUUCAAAAUAGGAUUCUUAAAAAAAUAAUAAUAAAAUGAUAUUUAACUUAAUUCUAACUUAGGAAAACAAAAUAUCUACACUCCCAAAGUUUGGAGAAAUGGUCAUUAAUAUCCCCAACUUUCCAAAAAGAGACACCAAGAACCCUUUUAACCAUAAUACUAUUUACUUCUAUUAUCCCAAAAAACAAUUGACUCUAAUAUUUUAUAAUAAAUAAAAAUAUAACAUUAAAAUAAAUGUAAUAGUAUAUACAUUUUAAAAUAGUUUCAAUAUUUAAAAAGCAUUUUAAUAUUUUUAAAUUCUAUUUUAUAUAUAUUGAUUAUUUUAAAGUAAAUUUUAUAAUAAAUAGAAUCAUAAUAUUAAAAUAAAUGCAUUAAAAUUUAAAUUAUUUUGAAUAUUAUGUAAAAUAAUAAUUUUAACAUUAUUAGUAUAUGAGAAUUUUUUUAAUUGUAGAAUGCAUUUAAUGCAAAUAUUUAUUUAAAAUCUCUACAAUAAAUAAAAAUAUACUAUUAAAACAAAACUCUACAAUACAUACAUACAUACAUAUACAUUGGCCUGGUAUUUUUAUUUUUCAUUUUUAAACUUAUUAAAUCCUCUAACUAUCAUUUGAUUUUUUUUUUUUUUCAAUGAUCAAGAGGUCAUUGCCGGAUAAAUGAUUAAAAUCAACUAGUUCUACAAGAAUAUCUCUUUUUAAAGGAAGAUGAUUCUCUCUCUCGAAAUUUUUUUAUCUCGUGCUACAAACUAAAAACUUAUGCCACUUCAUUAACCACAAAGAUCUUUGAGGAAAUGAUGCUUCCCUCCCCCCCCCCCCCCCCCCCCCUCCCACAAAAAAAAAAAAGAGUCCUUCCAUAUUGUGUGAAGGCUAAUAUAUCGAUGAAUCUAGAUUUCUUUAAAUUUUUUGUUUUACUCAAUUCGAGAUAAUAAUUCAAUCCAUGCAAAUAUCUAUCAUUGUAUGAGCUGACCAGUUAAUAGGUUGAUUGAAUAUAUGUGGUAAAGAUUCCACGUAUCUCAUGACAGAAUGCUGACCACUGGAACCCUAUCUACUUUUACGCGAUUAAUUCACGAGCUUAGGCACAACAAUUGCAAUACAAAUUAUCCCCUCAUCGUAUAUUUCGUUAAAAUUCAUUCUGAAGCAGUAAAACUAAACAAUCGAAUAUGGCUUUGCGGGUCGAUGAUGCCAGCAGCAAUGAGAGUGCAAUUAUCACUUGUUUAGUUUCUGUGCUUGCCGUGGCUUAUUUCGCAUGGAAUGUGAAAAAAUCAAGGAAAGCAAAUGCUAAACUGCCACCAGGAACUCGCGGCUUGCCUGUAGUCGGAUACCUCCCAUUUCUCGGGACUACUGACUUGCACAAGAAAUUCACGGA
rnacentral:lncRNA from 1 species